rnacentral:lncRNA from 1 species
UACCUUUAUAUCAUAAACAUAGACAUUAAUUAACACACCAUGCCAGGGCAAAGUAAAAAUCUCACAACCAAGCGCAAUAGUUUGAACAUUCAACAAGACAAAAAUAUGUGAUUGCUCAAUGGCUGAACUGCAAUGAGCAAAAAAUAUGAAUGGCCCAAUUGGACUAACACCGGCAAAACUGAAUGGCCCAAUUGGACUAACACCGGCAAAACUCAGUGUUCCUGUUUGCACCAAACAAAGAUCAACGAAACAAAUUUUAUUAGAGGGUAAAAAAUUACAGCAAAUUAAGGCUGAAAAAAUAAAGGCACAGCCCCAGUUUAAUAAUACAAUCAUCGAAUUUGUAACAACGAUAAAACUAUAGGCUCUUUGCUUCAAUAGGAUUAGGACCAUUCCAAAAUUAAGGAGAAAAAUUAUAUGUCGCACUACAAGCUGAAGGAAGAAAAGAAUGAAGAAAAAGCGAGAUGAAUACAGAAAGAAAUGAAAUACAAGAUACAUUACAAGUUCGAUGGCUGAACUGCAUUUUGACCCGGAAAUAUUCAAUUUUCUCUCUUGCAUCCAAGAUUUCUAUCUUCAAGUCUCUGGGAUAUUUGUUAUGAUUUGACACUUACCAGGAAGUAACAUGCACACAUGACUUUGCUGCUCAAGAUGAGAAAAUUGGGGAAACAUUAAAGUUCUAAGUACCUUUUUAUCAGCUUCGGUACUUUGAGUUCAGUGAGUUGACCUCCUCUGUACUCAGUUGAUCUACAAGAUGUUUCUUCAAUUCUGGUACUCUGGGUUUCCGCUAAUUGGCCUGCUGCUUUUCCUCAGCAUGAGAAGGAAAACUGUCGGUGGCCUUCCUCCAGGUGGGUGCCAUGUGCCGAGCACCAGGGGGCAUCAGUUGCUGUUGUUGAAAGCCUUUUAAAGUGAAAAAUAAGAAACCAUUCUCCAUCAAAGGAAGACAUGUUUCAAAAAAUAAAAGUGAUUUGUUUGUGGAUGAAUACCAGAAGCAGGUCUCCCAGGCUACAUUGCCAGCAUUGGAGUAAUUAUUUGAAGGUUGAAAAAAAUGGGAUAAAUCAAACAUAACAUUGCUUGGUAGCACUGCUGGAAGAGGGCGUCCCUCCCUAAACCGCUCCAUCAAAGAGAAUGUGGCAUGAUGGGUAGUCAUUCUAUCAAUUUAAUAGUAUAUAUUUAUGGAUGUUCGUAUGUCAAUUGGCCAGCACAAGAUUACUACCAAUCACAAAUAAAAUUUUGUAUCUACAAAAUAUCUAUGGCAUGUGUAAGUUUUUACAUCAAAAUACGAACACAUCAUGCAAAGAAUGAACAUCCAGCAGCAAAGCAUCUCGUAGAAAAAUGUGCUUGAUUGAGCCUGUUAUGUUCAGCAAUUCAAGCUAAUGAGAAAGUGCAUUCAUAUAAUCAAUAUUUAACAUAAUAUGCCCCUGGUUAUCAUUUUAUACGGAAAUUCCUUCAGCAAAACAAGUAUACAGCUUCAAGAACCUAUUUGUCGAUAUGAUCCCGACCCAAGAACAUUUCCUCUGUAUGCGACAAUCCUAACUACUCCAUAGUCAUCUUAUGCUGCAGGUUUUCACUACUGCACAAUUCUACUGUAAUAAACAAUCCUUGAUCAAUCCUUGGGUCAUAUAACACAUUUCUAAAGUCUGCUUACCACCUCAGGCCGAACGGAUACACCAGAAGGUAUAUUAAUGACCUCAUAACAUAACUCUCUCAACCUCACUAACUGUAGUAUCAAUUCCGCAUUUAUACUAACACGAAAUAAAAAUCUCACAUUUACCACUUCAACUACAAUUAGACUACAAAUUCAAAAUCAAUCUGAUUCGGAACACACAGUUCCACCACCAUCAAGUCCCAAUCAACCACUACAAUUACAAAAAUAUAAUCAUACACACAUACAUCCAAUUAUACAUAUAUACACAAGCACAUGCAUAUAUAUAUAUAGAGAGAGAGAGAGAGUACCUCCGCAAGGACCUGUUUGGGGAGACCAGAGCCCUGGAAGAAAGCGACGGCUUCAUUGCCACUAAUCUGGCCAUCGCGGUCCAAAUCGGCCCGUCGGAAAUACGCGUCGAAGAGAUCCACAUGCGCCGAUUGGUUCUGCGUCGACGCCAUCGCCACCGUCGGAUUGCGAUUCGCGGAAGAUCAGACCAUGGAAUCAAUCGAGAGCGCCUCGCUCUCAAGAUUCCGUACGCGUGAGGAGCGGAGGAAGAAUCAGAAAACCACGAAUUCGGAGGACCAGGAUUUGUUUGCCUUUCUUCUCCGAUUCGGAGGAAAAUCAGAAGACGACGGAGACACUGAGAGAUGCCGAUAGUUUGAGUUAGAAAACGAUUGUUCGUGGAACAAUUUGUUUUAUCCAUUUUUUGUAACAAACUGUACUGAUGUUUGUGAUCAAUUUCAAAAUAUGUCAAUUUGGGAUUUGUACCUUUGGUGCCUAUGAGCCCGGCAUUAGGUACUACCAUAACAAAUACAAUUUAGAAAUCAGAGUUGGUUAACAAGUUUAUGUUUUCGAUUUGUCAACUUGUACAAAGUGGGGAAACAAAAACGUGCACAUAUAGAAAGGUACAAAUUAAUGCGAGAUUGAGAAGGAGCUACAAUUUAGAAUCAGGGUCAUUUGUUUGUCAGAUAUUGAUAUGUUAUAUUAUCAAAAUUGUAAAAUCACAACUAUAUAUUUAAGCAUCGUUCUGUAAGUUCGUCUAGAGAGGAAAACCUAAUUGAUAACUAUACACACUCAUAUAGAUUAACUACUCUUAUCAUGAACCAAGUCAGCUUAUGUCCACGACGAUGUUGUGUUCUCGCGUUUCGUCGUUUCACGUUCUCUUCUUAAAAGGAGACGAUCAAUGAUUAGUGUUCUAAAAUAUGAUGUAAUAAACCCUUAAAUAACUUCUUAGUUGGUACAAUUAAGGCUUUUGAAUUGACCCUUCUGUGAUUGCUCAGUUUUCGCUAUUUAAUUAGUCCCUAAACUUCUUUUGAUUCAUAUCAUAGGUCUAUUAAAAAAUAAGUUUUAACGAACAUUCCAUGUAUGUUUACUUUAACGAAAAACCACAUUUUUAUCAGUACUAUACACACCUUAUUUGUCAUUUUAAAACUAAAAGUUUUUUUGAACUUUUCGUUAGUUUCCCUUUAAACAAAACCAUUGGGGAUCUUUGAUAUACUUGUUCGAAAUCAAAAUCAAAGUACAUAAAUGUAAUUAGUAAACUUGACACAUACAUGAGUUUCUUAAUGGAGCUAAACCUUGUCUAGUUUCCAUUUUUUUAUAAGUGUCUAUCUAAAUGUCAAACUGUCUCACCUUACUAUGGUGAUAAACUUUUAGCUGCACAUAUAGUACAAAUUAAUGCGAGAUUGAGAAGGAAGCUACAAUUUAGAAAUCAGGGUCAUUUGUUUGUCAGAUAUUUGAUAUGUUAUAUUAUCAAAUUGUAAAUCACAACUAUAUAUUUAAGCAUCGUUCUGUAAAUUCGUCUAGAGAGGAAACCUAAUUGAUAAUCUAUACACACUCAUAUAGAUUAACUACUCUUAUCAUGACCAACAAGUAGCUUAUGUCCACGACGAUGUUGUGUUCGCGUUUCGUCGGUUUCACGUUCUCUUCUUCUUUAAGGAGACGAUCAAUGAUUAGUGUUCUAAAAUAUGAUUAUAAACCCUUUAAAUAACUUCAUUAGUUGGUACAAUUAAGGCAUUUUGAUUGAUCCCUUCUGUGAUUGCCUCAGUUUCGCUAUUUAAUUAGUCCCUGAAACUUCUUGCAUUACAUGAUGUGCAUGGAAAGGUCUAUUAAAUAAAUGAAGUUUUAACGAAACAUUCCAGGUAUUGUUUACUUUUAACGAAAAACCACAUUUUUAUCUUUUCCUAGUACUAUUCACUACACCUUUAUUUGUCAUUUUUCAUUAAAACUAAAGUUUUUUUGAACUUUUCGUUAGUUUUCCUUUAAACAAAACAUUGGGGAUCUUUGAAGUAGUACUAUGUUUCGAAUCAAAAUCAAAGUACCGGCCUAAUAAUUAAUGUAAUUAGUAAACAUUGACACAUAAUGUAAUGCAUUCUUAAUUGGAGCUACAACCUUGUCUAGUUUCCAUUUUUUUUAUAAGUGUAUAUGUUAGUUUGGUGUAUGUCGUCGGCCACUCUGGAUUGAAGUGUGCAACUCCGUUGUAGGAGCUUCUUUUGUUCUCAGUUAUAGCAAAUGUCUCAAUCACCGAGAUGAAUUUCUCGAAUUUUAUCAAGUACAUGUCGAUUUAUGUGCUCCUAACUAUUUUUUAGCACGAAUAGUUGCACCUUCUUAUUUGCAAAUAUUAAGAACAAUUGCAGACUUGUGCGUAAACUGUAGGUUAUGAAUACAAACAUAACUGGAAUUCUAAUUGGAUAUUUGGUGUUACAACAUAAAUAAUAAAAUUGAGCAUUUUUUCAAUAUACCAAAAACACCAUCUGAUACAACAAGUAUCAUUUUCCGGAAUACAUUUAACAAGUUACUAUUAAAAGAUAACUCUUGAUUUGGUUAAUAUGAAAAGAAAAGGAAAUUAGGGUAUAUUAUUUUAUAUUAAUAUGAAUAUUACUUAAUUAUUUUGUCAGACAUUUAUCCUUUAGUUGGUUGUGAUUGGACUGAACAGUUGGCUCAACUGGUCUAGCAGCUAAUGGGAGACCUGGACUGCAUACGGCACUUCCCCAACGCCCACUUCCACCGCCAUUUAUGUCCCCUGGCCUCUCCACCUCCUCCGUCUUCAUCACCGCCGGGAAAAACCCUCCUCCUAUUCUCUCCCACAUCAAACACCCAAACCAGAACAAUCAACACCAAAAUUGCCAGUGCUGGGUACAGGAAGAAGGGGAAGAUGAAGAUGGCAGAGAUCUGACUCUCAGACCUCAUUUCUUGCUAGUAUAUACAUAUAUAUACACACACAUACAGUGAGAGUCGUAUACAUACCUAUGAUUCAAUCAGUUUCAGCAAAAGGGAAUAGCAAAAGAGAGACACUUUGCAGUUGUUCCGGCAGCCGCCGAUAAUUCACAGGCAGCGGCAGUGAGGAAUCAACUAGGAGAAAGCCAAAGCCUUAUCUGUUGGUUUUACCUCUCUCUCCCCAUUUCAAGCAGUGGAGAAAAGACGAAAUUCCUCAUUUACCCUCGUUGUCUUCUCAAAUAACAAAUAUAUCCUCGCGAGCACCUCUCUCGGUUCGAAUUGAAACCCCAAAACCACUCUCUUAAACCCUAACCAGAAACUCAAAAGAUAACUUUAUCAAUCAGAAAUCUCUGUGAGGACAUGCCAUCGUUUCAGGAUCGGGUUUCCAAGCACAUAUUUUCUGCAGUUUCUAAUCCAUUUCGCCAAUCAACGAGCUUGUCGACGAAGCUGCAUCGUUUUAGCACCACCACCGAUCGUGGCGGUGAAAUGGAAGUAGCAUCAGAGCAACAGCCGCCGGAUCCCAUACCCAAUAGGCCCUUGAGAGGCCAAAGACUAUCAAAUCGCCAAACCUCCAAUCUCCAAUUCCUCAACAAAGACUCACCCAUUUCGGCGAGAAGGGGAGAGAGCCCUUCUUCUCCGCCAUUGCAGGACAGCAGCUUUCUCGAAAAGCUGAAGCUGGGUCUCGACAAGUCAAAGAGGGAGGAGCCUCAGGAAGUUCCCGAGCCGCCACAGGUGGCGGAAGAAGCGGACCAGAUAUUCAAGAAGAUGAAGGAGACGGGUCUGAUUCCGAAUGCGGUGGCAAUGCUUGACGGGCUAUGCAAAAGACGGGCUGGUCCAGGAGGCCAUGAAGCUUUUUGGGUCGAUGCGCGAAAAGGGUUCGAUUCCUGAGGUUGUUAUAUACACUGCUGUGGUUGAUGGGUUUUGCAAAGCGCAGAAGUUCGAAGAUGCUAAGAGGAUUUUCAGGAAGAUGCAGAGCAAUGGGAUUGUUCCUAAUGCUUUUAGUUACACUGUGUUGAUACAGGGGUUGUAUAGAGCUAAUAAUUUGGAGGAUGCUGCUGAAUUUUGCAGCGAAAUGUUGGAAGCCGGUCACUCGCCCAAUGUAGCUACUUUUGUCGGGUUGAUUGAUGUCAUUUGUAAGGAAAAUGAUAUGGAAGAAGCUGAGAGUGUUAUUGGGAAGUUGAAGCAGAAGGGGUAUUUGGUUAAUGAGAAGGCUGUUAAAGAGUUUUUGGACAAAAAGGCGCCAUUUUCGCCGAGGUAGUGAAGAUUAGCUUCUUCCAUCGAGGUAGGAAUUACGUAAAUCGAUGACUUGAAGAUUACUGCUAUGGAUACCAACAAUAGCAGUAACACAUUUCUAGGUUGGAGUUAGGAAUUAGGUAAAUCGAUGACUUGAAGAUUAGCUUCCAUUGAGGUAGUGAAGCUAAGGGUGUGACUAAGGUCGUGAUCGUGGAAUUAGUAGCGCUCCUAGUUGACUUACCUUCAUGAAUGGCUGUGAUCUCCAUAUUCUGAAUAGGUGAAACAUAAAACUGACCUGUUGAAUUUGCUACGUUAUUAAUUGAAGCAUUGUGAAGAUUGACACGGUUCUGCAUAGGUGUCUAGAGGAUAGUUCCCCUCUGUAAAGGCUACAGCUUUUGAUAAGUGAUCCUAAUAAAUUGGUGCAGUUUUCUCGUUUGUGAUAGAGUUGCAAUGGUACGGGAUGGUAGACUUUUUUUUUUUUAAAUUUGUGGAAGCUCGAUCGUAGAUGGACGUACAAAGUUCUACUGACUCUCAUUUACUUGUGUGGUAUUUUUUUUCAAUCUGUCAAAACAAAGAUUGUUCCUUUGUGACUGAAAAGUCACGGGUUCAAGUUAUGGAAAUAACUUCUUUGCAAAGUAAGGGUAAGGCUUCGUACGAUGACACCCACCGCCGGCAAUCUUCUCAAAGCCGGGAGCUUUGUUGGCUUGAGAUUGUCCAUUUAUCUGAGUGCAAGAUACAUUUUCCUACGGAACCAGUUAAAACUUAUGUCAGGAAGCUCGAUAGUGAACCGUGAUACUAUGGUUUGUAAACAUUGGAAAGUUCUGGAUAAUUUCCGAGUGAUAUGGUAUGUUGGUAUCUAUUUGUUGUCGUGUAUCAAACUAAAUGUUGGUAUCCAUUUUCGGUAAGUUGGUUAUUGUACAGGUACGUAGCUAAGCAAUUAAGGGUGGGCAUAGGCCGACCGGGCUGGGCUGGGCUGGGCCUAAUUAUGAAGGAACCGGAUCCUAUCCGCUUUAAACUCUAAGGGGACGGGGCAUGGGCCGGUUUUGGACGGGUUCACGGGUCCAACUCUAUUUUUUUUCUCCUUUCAAAAAUUCAUUUUUAUCAAAUGGAGAUGCAGCCGUUGGACCGCAGUGCACAACAGCAGCACAGAUUACACUUACACUUAUAGGAGUAUUGAAGGCUUGAAGCAAAGACUGUGCACAACAACACGUAUUAAUAUAAUCCCAAACCCAUUUGCCCACUCCUAAAGCAAUAUUCUUUAGAAAAAAAAUUACUUUUAAUGUAUCGAAAAUGUCAGCCAAAGGGGGCGUUGAGGGGGAACGAAAGGUGCAGUCGCACAGGGCCCUGAAUUUGAAGGCCCCCAAAAUUUUUGUCAUCUAAAUCUAUUAUUUAUAUGUAAUAAUGUUCUAUAAUUAAAAUUGCUUUUGUUAUGUAAUAAUGUUCUAUAUUUAAAAAUUGUUUUUGUUAGCACUUUAAAAUUUCAUUGUGCACUCCUUAUAAGAGUAUUGUUUUCCUUUCUAACACCUUAAAAAUGGUAUUCUUUAUUUUUUCAAUUUUAUUAUAAAUAAUGUUAUAUAUUCAAGUGAAACUUUAAGUUAGAAUUUUUUAAGUUUUUUUCCCUUGUUUGGUUGUUUAAGAUUGUACUGAUUUUGAUUAUUUAGUGAACAUUAUAUUUGUAGCUCUUUUUACUUAUUAUUAAUGACAUUUGUAAACAUGCAACCAGUGAGUACUAAACUUUGUUUUGAUUUAAGUGAUUGUUUUCUAGUGUUAUACAUUGUCCUACCUUUUUUUAAAAACUAUCUUAAGGAGGAGCCUUUCAUAAAAUUCGUACAGGGCUUUCAAAAUCUCAGAGACCGCCCUGUCAGCAUGGCAUCUUACAAAUUAAUUAUGUACUAUCAUGUGAGAAAGCAUGAGAAUGCGAAAUAGAUCUUGUUGUAGAUAAGUUUUUCUCGUUGUUUGGGUACGCAAAAGGCUCCCAAGCUUGUAGAAUAUAAAGAUCAUUGUUCACAUUCUAUGUUGCCACAAUUCUACUCUCGGUGGUAAGCCACUAGGAAUAGCCUAGUGGUGAGGGUGUGGGUAAGGGGUGGGGUAGUUCUAGGUCCCAGGUUCGAAACCUGGUGUGUGUGUUUGUGUUUGUAUUUGUGUGGGUGGUGGAGGGUAACCAAAAAAAAAAAAAAAAAAAAAAAAAAAAAAAAAAAUUCUACUCUCGGUGGUAUUAAAUUUUGGCCAACCCAACAACGCAAAGCCUUUGUGAAGGGAAGGAGUAGUAGUGUGCGUAUGCGCCAAUUGGACAGCCUCAAAACAUGCAACCGCGUAUGGCAAAAGCCGAAGGCGAAUUGGGGUUGGCGACUUGGCGUUCUCUCUUGGUCGGUUAUUGUUUAUUUCUCCAAGAGUUGCAAAUUGUGAAGAAGAGAUGCAUCAUACAUCUCCUCUUGAAACCCACUUUUUGGAUUAGCUCCCAAUUAAUUUAAAUGCCAAGCACCAAUCACACACCCCCCCCCCCCCCCCCCCACAAAAACACCAAAAUUCCCUGUUAUCUAUAAGAUCUUUGUGAUUUGGUCGGCUUUUAUUUAUUCAUAUCGUAUGCUAGAUUUUAAGGUAGUGGUAGUAUGUGGUCCUUCGACUCAUUCCUAAGGAUAAGGACCAGAGGGAACUGUCCCAUCAAGGGUGGGGUUACAUGUAGCAUGUUUCGUUUAACCCCAUAUUUCAAUUGAUGUGAUAGCAUUUCAUUUCUUAUCAACAAGUUUGAUGUGCAAGUUUGUAGUUUCUCAUGUGAGAGUUUGUUGUUUUAAUUUUGUUUUAUGGUGAUGGUGUUUGGUUUAAAUAAAUUUGCUUGUAUUUUAUGAACUAAUUAGUAUUGAUCCUCUGUGACUGCAGAAAUACAUUAUAAUACAGUCGAUACUAAUUUGUUGGUAAAAUCCGACCAAACUUAUUCGGAAAAAAAAUUAAAUAAAAAAAAAACACAUAAAAGGCCCCACGAUUGUUGCUUUGUGCAUGUGAAAACAAGAUAUAUAUAGGGAUGCUACAACUUGGGGUUAAUGCAACUAAAUUAAAAUUAGAAACAUCUGCUUUGUAACUUGUUAAGUUGUUUUAUGUGUAUACAUUUCAAGAUUACAACUAAUGAGCUUUUUCUUAAUAUUGUUUGUGAAGGACUUCCUAAUUGAUCAUGUGCAGAUAAUCAUUGACUAACCUAGAUUAACAUCGAAACAAAUUGAACCUGAGUUAAGGAGCUGAUUACGGAGUCAUUUGAGCUUUCGUUUUGGUUUUGUGUGUAUUUUUGUUAGGCAUUAAAAUAGAGGGACUAACCUCGAUUUCGAAUACCAGAUAUAGGACUUUGUGCAUCAGCAAAUUCUUUAGGAGUACCGUUAGGAAGAUCAAAUUUUAUAAAUUAUAUGACGUGAUUGUUGAUACUUAGAUUAUUACUUAAGUGUUUAUUAACGUGUUUAUUUCCAAUUGUGACACAUCUCAUGGUUUGUGAAUUUGGUUUAAAAAGUUAGUCUACCUAACAUUAUAAAUACUUGAAAUUCCGUUUCUGAUUAAUUUUCUAAUAUUUGGGAAAAUUUUAGAUAAGGGUGUCUCAUCAUAUCAUUUGUAAUACAACUCUCACAAAGCAUAGGACUUUGUAUUUGGUUUUACCUGACCCCCACAUUAGUUCUAUGAUCUAUCCAAUAGGGUGAAUUUUUGCUCACCACCCUCAAGUGGUAAUGUUCAUUACCCUAUUUAUCACCGUUUGAUUAUUUUAAAUUUUGAAAUUUGUAUAUAUUCACUACACAAAUCUCGAAAUUUAAACUCAUCUAACAGUAAUAAAUAAAGUGGUGAUCAUCUUAUAUAUUUAAUAAACUCAUGAGUUGGAAAUUAUGUAGAUGUGUUGUUUGAUAAGUAAAUGAUGAAUCUAAAAACGUAUAUUAAGAAGUCGGGUAAUGCUAGGGAGACUAAAUUUGUAGACAAAAUUUACAAACUAAAUGAUGUGUCACCAAUAAGAAUGUGCACGUUCAUCAAUGUUUACAUAAUAAUCCAGUCAUCAACUUUCAUGUCAUUUAGUUUACAAUAUUUUGUCUACAAAUUUAGUCUCCCUAGCAUUACUCUAACAAGUCUAUAAAGUGGUCUGAAGGCUAGACAAAUAGUAAUCAAGCCAUUAACAAUGGAAUAGGAUCCCAUCCGGAUCCUAUUUAUGGGGUGCCAAAGGAUCAAUCAAUUGUGUCCAUUCAUCAUACAUCGUACGGUUAUAAAUUAUUUUAAAUUAAAUAUAAACAGUACCUAACGAAAAUUGACUGCACAAUGUACAAUAAAUGAUUAUAAUUGAUUGAUCAUCCGGAUUCCUAAAAAAAAAUCCGGAGAGGAUCCUCGUCCAUUUACAAUUGAACCUGCAUUUGCAUCCUUAACCGGACAUUAAUUAAAUCACAAGAAAACCAUUAUUCGCGCUUCAAACAACUUUCCCAUAAAUCAAAACAAAACCAUUACUUAUUGUUUGAUCCAAAUUUUAAGUAUAUACUAAUUACUAUUGAAUAUAAUUAGAUACAAGUUGUACUUGUUUAAGUAGUAAAAUUAUGUUUAAUUAAAGACCAUAACGAUGUGGGGUCGGCACCGCCCCCUCCUCCUCCGCCGACUUCAAAGUCAAGCUUGAAAUUUAAAAUAAAGCUGAUGUUAGAUUGCAUAUUGAUUAUAGUCCUUUAAUAUGUCAUUAAUUCAAAAUAAUUAAUGUGUAUUUUAUUCAAUGUCUCCCAUUAAAUAUUUAAAUUUAUUAAUCUACACAUUUUAAUAUAUUUUUUGACCAAACAAAAGUUUUUUUAAAAUUUAUUAAUUUUAUUUAACAUUCUUCAAACUUGAAAAACUCAAUGUUAGUACCGAAAAUGUAUUAUAUUAAAUUAAUGUAUUUAAAUGUUAGUACCGAAAUAUAUUAUAUUAAACUAAGGUACCUAAAUGUGUAUACCGAAAUGUUUGUACCCAAAUGUAUUAUAUUAAACUAAUGUAGCGAAAUGUAUUAUAUUGAAUUAAUGUACCUAAAUGUUUGUAUCGAAAUGUAUGUACUGAAAUAUGUGUACCUAAAUGUAUGCACCAAAAUGUAUUAUAAUGAAUUUAAUGUAUCUAAAUGAAGAAGACAAAGUAUAUCGAAAUAUAUUGUAAAAUAAAAAUUAGUUUAUCUAAAUGUUUACAACAAAAUAUAUUAAAAUGAAUGAAAUUAUAAUUAUAAUUGUAAUGACAUAAAGUUAAUACAUUAAAAUUAGGAAGAAAAAGAGAAAUAAUUAAAACAUCAAAAAUAUAAUUAAUAAAUGAGAUGAUUAAUGUAUCAAAUGACUAAAAUUAGAUUUUGAUCUUACUCAUGGUUUUAAUCUAAAAGUCAUAUUUGACGAGAAUUAAAAUGAAGUUUCCUAAUAUAAAAAUCAAACACGUUUAUAUCGAAAUAAAAUAACACAAUUAAAAAAGUCAGAACCAAGAAAAUAAUACUACAUUUAAAUUUUAUUUUUAUAAGACAACGAAAAGUAACACUCAAAAACUUUCUUCCUAUAUAAACAGCUACAUAUGUGGUUCUUCCAUAUCACUCACACAUUUAAUAACAGCCUCAUUGCACUCACACAAACAAUACAAAAUAUCAAAUUCUGGCACUUGGGUUUUCAUAAUUUUGCUUGAAGAUCUUGUUUUUGUUUCCGAUACGAGCUCGAAGAUUGCCGGAAAUGAUAUGUCUAAUGGCUUCUCAGUCCCAUUUGGGCAUGGCAGUAAUAUUUUUCUACACAUGUUUCUGGAUCCCAUUUCACCAGAUGAAGAAGUUUCUGGGCAGAUUAUUUUUUGGCAUGAUAUUUUUCACUCAUUUCCAGCAGCAGGAAGAGGAGGAGUGUAUGAGUCUUCCAGUGGCUAGGUUCCAGUACUUGCAGGCUCAUGGUACCAAACGGUGUGGACAAGUUUUGGAGAAGACAUGUUCAGUUUGCUUGGUGGAUUUUGAGGAGGAGGAUUUGGUGAGCCAAUUGGGAAAAUGUGGACAUGUUUUCCACGUUGAUUGCAUUGAGAGGUGGAUUGAGAGCAGUCACUUUACCUGCCCAGUUUGCAGGUCACUGUUCUUCAAGGUCAAAACUUGUCAUGCAAAACUGGAUGAGGAAGUUAAUAUCUCUUCCUCCUACAUUAAUGGUGGUUUUUCUUGGUAUUAUUAGUUAUUUGAUUUUAAUUAAUUAAGUAAUUAGUAGUUCUUUGUUUGUGGAGAGAGGAUCUGUGGAUGUAAAGGGAGGCAAUAUUUUUCAGAUUUUGUUUUUGUUUCUGGUUUACGGUUCUCAUGUAAUUGGCUGUUAAUUAUAUGAAUACAUUUCUAAUUUCAUGUAAAAAUACAUAUAGAUAUUAAUCAUUUAUAAGACAGUGCAGAAGAAAUGAAAAACCAGUAAGCAACAUCAAGCAUUAAUCAAGCAAAUGCAGUUUCUGUUUGUGGAGAGAGGAUCUGUGGAUGUAAAGGGAGGCAAUAUUUUUCAGAUUUUGUUUUUGUUUCUGGUUUACGGUUCUCAUGUAAUUGGCUGUUAAUUAUAUGAAUACAUUUCUAAUUUCAUGUAAAAAUACAUAUAGAUAUUAAUCAUUUAUAAGACAGUGCAGAAGAAAUGAAAAACCAGUAAGCAACAUCAAGCAUUAAUCAAGCAAAUGCAGUUUCUGUUUGUAGUAUUGGAGAGGGAAAUGAACCCUAAAUUUAUCAUAAUUUUAACUCGUCGAUUCAUCUUUCCUACCACUUAAAUAAACUACUAAUACCUUUUUGUUUUUUUUUAAACGUAAAAAAGGAUUAAACAAGAUUAGCUCAUCUAGCCACCACGUAUUACGGUCUAGUAGUAUUCCUCUUUCACUGAUUAGUGAGGUUUUAGGUUCAACUCUCGUCAAAAGCGAAUUUUGAACCAAUUUAUUAGUCCAUUGUGAGGCUAAGCCCACCUUCUCCCCUUAGUGUAGUUAAUAUCGAUUGUUAAAAAAAAAUAAAUGAAGAUUAGCUCAUCUACAAUGGUAAAGUGUGAGGCACCGACCAUUCCUUGUAGGGGUGAGAACCAUUACACUUGGAACACCCCUUGCCCUCCUUCCGUACCACUUUGACUAAGUCCGAUGAGUUGUUUACGAUAAUUUUAUUUAAUCUAAACUACAUAAAUACAGAUUUAAACUUUGAGCACACUGCUUAACUAACUUAACUCAGCACAAGUCUACAACUAACUGCAAGGAUACUUAAAAUAAAAAGUUUGAGCACACUGCUCAAACUUUCAAAUUUUCAAUAAUUCAAUUCAUAUACUUAUUGUUGCUUGUUUGAUUUUUUUUCUUUCUAAAUGUAAUAUUGGCAAUAAAAAUUAGUUUGGCAAAUGAAUAGGCAUCUGACACUAUAUGUUUUGUUGAGGUCAACGAGAACACGAGGCACAUAUCUAAAUUUGUUCAAUUAAAUUUUGAAAAAUUGAAGAAUCUUUCAGCAACCAAAUAAUCCAUUGAAAUUAUUGGAUUAAAUAAAUUUAUAAAACUAUUAUUAUUUUCUUGAAUUGAAAGAAUAAUGUUAGGUUUAAUAUUUUCUAUGAUUAGAUGCAGAUGAAAAUUAUCUAACAUUUUAAAGGGAGAUAUUGCUUUAAUCUUCAGCUGGUGCUGGGGUUUUAAAAGAAAGUUCCAACAGAAAAGAAACUAACAACCGUUUACGUUUUUAACAACAUGACUUGUGACUCAAGUAAUUAUAAACGCUUUACUUAAAAAGCAAUUAUCUUAACUGCGCGAUAAAAUGUAAGCAAAGGAAAAGUACUUUUAUGAUUUGUUUGGUAUGUUUUCCAUUAAUUGAAAGAAGAAAAUUUUGCUUAAUUGGCAUUGCAGUAACUUUCUUAAGCACACUUGUGUUAUUAGUAAUGUUAUGUGUAGUCCAUUUUGACAAAUACAUGAGUUUACUAAGUUUCUUUGUACAUUCAUGUAGCCAUUGAUAUAUUGAACUGGUUCCCAUGUUUUACCCUUUUGGUUAAUUUGGUUCUUGUAUUUUCAAUUGGUCAUCAUUGAGAAGUCAUCUCUAUGAAAAAUUGUUGUAGUUGAAACAUUUAGUUAUCAACUUGAGGCCAGUGACAGUGUUAUCGCUAAGCAGUAAAAUUUUACAACAGAAAUCAAAUGGCUAAAUGAUUUCCGCACAUAUUUUUUUCGUUGCAAAUUUGCAAUAGAAUUUAUUAUGGGCAUUUUGGGCCUCAGAAGUUGGUUUUCAGCCCAACCUGGACUUUUGCCAUGCUUUUUCCUGAGACCAGCGGGAGAUAUUAAUAAAAGCUUAGAGCUCGGUUUUGGUGAAAUCUUCAAGCUUUGAAGCAGGGCAAGCAACUGAUCGCCACAGAGAACGCAGCCAUGGUAAUUCGAACUCAUCUCUCAAAUCUCGCAAUUUACCGAUUAGUUGUUUUCCCUUUUCUCGUCCUCAAAUUUCAAUUUCCUAGAUUGGGUUGCAAGAAAUUAGAAUUUUCAGAUCUGGGUCCAAUUAGCAAUCGAUCGUUACUAAUCUGGAUUCUUUUCGUGUUUCGAUUUGUUUUGUGAUGAAAAAAUUAUGGCUUUUUAUAGUUGUAUAAAAUUACAAUGUGAUCCAUCUUUGCCAUGCCAUUACUCAAAACGAUGCAAUAUUUGUUGGAAUUUGUAUUUCAGUAAGAAAUUUGUGAUUUGGACUGGGGUUAAAUGGGUUAAAUUUUAUUUGGGUUUUUAGUUUGGUUGCUGAUCUGAUAAUGGUUUAUGAUGUUAGAUUCAAUUUGUGCUUCUAAUAAGCAGACAAGGAAAAGUGAGGUUGACAAAAUGGUAUUCUCCUUAUACCCAAAAGGAAAGAAGUAAGGUAUUGUCGAUAAAUCUCAUCUAGUUUUUCGGGUUGUUUGAUCGUCACUAGAAUUUAUAAUUCCAAGAAGAAUAGCAACAUGAACGCCUUUUGAUUCUUGUUAUGAGAAUGGCUUUCGAUUCCCACAUUGUUAUCACCGUGUGUGUAUUAAUCUUGCAUUUUGAUAAGGUUCUCCGUGAGCUCAGUGGAGUAAUUCUUGCGCGAGGUCCCAAACUCUGUAAUUUUGUGGAUUGGAGAGGAUACAAAGUUGUUUAUAAAAGGUGAUGCAGAGAGAUGUGAUUUUGUUUUUGCUCUGCUAGGGGUAGAAUUAUUAGUGAGUGGCCUGUCUUAGAUUUCCGCUACUGAAUUUCUGUGAACGUGUUUUGCAGAUAUGCCAGUCUGUAUUUCUGCAUGUGUAUUGAUCAAGAAGAUAACGAAUUAGAGGUCCUUGAAAUGAUUCAUCAUUAUGUUGAGAUUCUCGACCGAUACUUUGGCAGUGUGAGUGAUUGCAUUAUAUUCUUCAUUUCAUUUUGAUAAAGGAUGUUGUUGUACCAUGUACUAAUAAUAUGUUUAUACUUACAGGUCUGUGAAUUGGAUUUGAUAUUUAACUUCCACAAGGUAUGUGUUUACUGCUUGUCUAAGAGUUGCCUUUUCUGUUUUUCGGAAUUGCAUUACAAAGGAGUUGGUUUUACUGUUUUUGUCCACAUGUUUGCCAUACCAAUGCUAAAAUUUGCCAGAGUCCUCAUAUGACAUUUUUCUGCUUUAUGUUGAUAUCUGGCUUGAUCGUUUGCUACUGUUCAACAUGGUAGGCCUACUAUAUACUAGAUGAAAUUUUGAUUGCUGGUGAACUUCAAGAAUCGAGCAAGAAAACAGUUGCACGAUUGAUAGCUGCACAGGUAUAGGUUAUUCUUAGAUCGGUGCCAUUUGUUGUCAAAUAUUUCCAUCCUCGCUAAUUGCAUCAUAUUUCUUGGUUCUAGGAUUCUUUGGUGGAGACUGCAAAAGAGCAGGCUAGUUCGAUAAGUAAUAUAAUCGCGCAGGCAACCAAGUAAUGGAGAACAAGCAUAUGGUCACCCUUUGUAUCAAUACACAUUGAAGUGUUUCUGUAUUAAUAUUGUUCUUGUUAUCGUUAUUUUGAAAUUUUUUUGUAAUAACUGAUGUGCGUUUUUGGUUACGUAUGCAGUUUUAAGGAUUGUACAAUGAAAUGUUCUCCGAUUCGUCGUUGAUUAUAUGUCUUGUGUGGAUGGUUUAUUCAUAGCUUCUGUUCGAGGCAUUUUUUGUGCUUUUUAGAGAUGAACAUUCUUACAUUCUUCUCAAAAUCCAUCCCAAUUGUUUUUUACUAGAGAUAGAGGAAAAAUAUGUACAUUUCUUUUGCAUCGCUUGUCGACAAACUAAAAACGAAAUGUUUACCAAAGGCCCCAAAAUUUCACAGUACUUGUGUUUAGGGUCUCCCUCAGACAAUGGUAUGCAUUGACAGGGUCACUGUGAUAUGCUAGUGGCUGAAGUACGAAGGCCAACGUUUCCCAUGUUUCCUUGGGUUGAAAACUUGAAGGUAAAUGGAGUCCAAUAUAUAAUUAAACAUGAACUUCAGGGUUUAUGGCAUGCAUUCAUAUUAACAUCAUAUCUAAGUUGUAUUAAUUUCAAUCUAAUUAACAUUUAUUCGCGGUUAAAUAUGAUCGCUCGUUGUAAGUUCUACUUCUCUGUUGGUUUCCUAUACAACUUACUGCACCCAUCCCAGACACGAACUCACUUAUCCGUUUCUUUCCGCCUGAAAGAUUUGAAUUUCAUGCUCCGAAGGAGAGGUUUGCUGUACAGGAAGACUGGGGGAAAAGACCUUGUCCUGCAAAGUCGAAAGUAAACAUAUGAGAGUGUAAUAACAACCAGAUACCAUACGUUCGAUGUCUGUAAUGCGAGGACUGCAGUGACGGCUUAACAAAAAAUUAUACUAAAUCAGAAGCAAGUAAGCAAAAACGUAAUCUAUGUAAGAGAAAUUAAACAGACCUUUAGAAAAUAUCCAAAUCCGCUAAAUUUACAAGGACUCCAUCAUCUUCCCACGUUAUAUCCUUGGCCUUUGGAUCUCUUUCAAUAGGUUGAAGAGGCGCUUCUAAUGGCGGAGGGCUCUGCAGAUAGAAAACAUACAAUUUCGAGACGUAAUUGACAGGAAAACUAGAACUUAAUUGCCUUCAUCAGAUUACUAAGAAUUCAAAUCCUGGAUGGGCUCUCUCCAUCACUAUUGGUAUUUAGAAACCGGUUUUUCAAUUUAUCAUCAAACAAUGAUGGAUGUAUCCCUACCAUGCAACGAAUCAAAGGCCAAUUAAUUCCACGGAAGAAAGGAUGUUGCUUGAUUUCAUUUGCACCAGUAUUGGAUCCUAAACGUGCGUCUGGGUCUCUCUGCAACAAUGCAUUUAUCAACUGCCGUGCUGCAAGGCUAACCUGGAACAUCAAGUAAUGUUAGCGGGUGCACAAUUAGCUCGAAGCUUCAAAUAAUGACUAUACAAACGCAAUAUUAAAACUUCAUCCAUCUUUAGACCGCAAGGUCCAAAAUGACAGAAUAGAUGCACAGUUCAAUCUUAGAUAUACCGGAAUACUGCCUGGAAACGUGAGAUCUUUGUGCAGGAUGUUGGUGAACGUCCUCUGCCUAUUUUUACCCCUGAAAGGUGUACGGCCAUACAGCAUCUCAUACAACAAAAUACCUGAAUUCCAAACAUAAACAAAAGCAUUAGUGAUAAAAUGUACUGCAGCUCUACAAAGAAAGUAGGAGCUACCCAGUAGGGCGGGAAGAACUCCAUGAUAACAUGAUUGGAAAUUUUUAUUAUAUGCACACUUUUGAAUACCAAAGUAAUUUUCAAAGUAGUGGUACUUGAAAAAUUGAUUCCUUCAUAAGCAUUAGUAAGAAUUUCGGUGAAAUUUAAUGCUUACCAAGAGCCCACCAAUCAAUAGCACUGCUGUGGCCUGCACCAGUAAUAAUUUCCUGAAAUCAAGCACCUUAAGAACUUUGAAAAUAUAUAGGCAGACAAAACAAUUAUCAUUACUGUAGUCUGUAACAAUAUAGCUGACCAGAUUUGUAGUAAUACAAGUAUUUCAGAACAUGACAUACAAAAUGUCAGCGCCAGUUAGCAUGGUUUGAAGCACAUGCAUACAUUUUACUGUUGAUGAAAAGAUCAUGAUGUGUUUUGAUCCUGAGUUCCAUGUAGUGACUACGCAUGAAAAUGUUUUCUGAGGUGUUAACCAAUAUUAUAGAACCAUACGAAAACAAGGCAUGCCCCUCUAUCUAAUACGCUAAUAAAAAUAUUGAAAGUAGGAUGACCUAAAACCAUAAUGGAAAGGGAUCACCGUACAGGAGCAAUGUACUCUUCAGUUCCAACAAAUGAAUUUGAUUGUGUGACUGGUUCUGCAACAAAUGUUGGUGGUGGUUGACUCCUCGAUCUUCUUCUCUUGUUAGGCGAUUGAUGCCUUAUAAUCUGUGCAAUGGAAAAAACUAUAUAAUAACAAAUAAGAAGAGUACGUCUGUAAAGAGAGAAGCGAGGAUUGUGAUUUUGUACCAGGGGUUUACAUGAUGUCAUAAACGACAAAUCAAAAUCUGUUAAGACAAUAUGCCCAUCCUUAUGGAGUAAAAUAUUUUCAGGCUUAAGGUCGCGAUAUACUAUUCCUGUAAGAAGCCACAGGCAUAGUCAGCAAAAAAGCAAUAGGACUGAGAUGUCCAUCAUAAAUGACACCAAUAUGUUAUAAUCAGUCAAUCCUGGGUUGGAUUCCCGUGCUUCAAAUGCUAAUCCUUAUACUCAGGGAAUAACUCACAUUACAUCUGAUUAUAGUUUGUGUCAGGAAAAUUAACUAAACAGUAUAUGUUAACCACAGGAUUUGGGAAGAACACCAAUAAGUUCACGAGGUUUUCUUCCCAUUUUUUAUUAGACUAGAAAACAAUUAGAAAGAAUAUUGAAUAGAGAAGUGGAGCACAGAAAAUGUUCAUAUCAUUUAAUCAAAAUACCUAGACAGUGAAGAUAUUCCAAUGCAAUAACCACCUCUGCCGCAUAGAACCUGGCAUAUAAUGAAAGUUAAAACAAUAAUCUUUUGAGAAUACAUCUACUUUAUAGAUGGUUAAAACAUUGACUGUAGAAAGUCUGCAAUCAACCUAAUAGUAAAAAGUCUGCAAUUCAUAUGUACCAAACAUCAAUUUCUGCUUCACAUGACCAGAGGUCCACCGUCCACAACAAUGAAUAAAAGUGUUAGCUACCAGCGGUUGUGGACACGGUUAUGCCCAAGGGUAGCCCUGUCUCCACCCAUCUUUUGAAAUCUACCUUAACAGAAUUGGGGUGCAUAUGGUUUCGUCACAUUUUAAACCUAAGUAGGGCUUUAGCCUGCUGAAAAUUUUGUUCCAUGACUGGUACCAGUUCGUAAGAGGAAAUUGAAAUUAUAAUAAAUCUUUUCCAUCAACCAAAUAGUACAAUGCAUCUCUUACAAAACAUGGAUCAUUAUCUUCUGCAGCUUAACUUUCGAUCCUUAGUUAUAUCACAAACAAAUCCAAUAGUUAUCAUUAACUUUCAUCAUUAGCAAAAUAGAAAGCAUACACAACCGCAUUUGGAUUCGUGUUGAAUGUCAAUCAACACAAAGCACAGCAUCUCUCCCUAGAAAUUACUGAACUGUAGUUGAAUUCCACACAAGCAAGAGUUUAAAGUAGCAAAAUCAGAUUAAUGUUUUCCUAUCAUUAAAUCCAAUCAAUAGUGGGUAAAGUGGUAGCUUUAAUUUGGUACCAAGAGAUGUUAAGAGUACAAAAGUAAAAGUACCUCGCAGAUUCCUCCUUAAAUAAUUUCAUCGGCUGCUUGUCAAGUAAAGCAAAUAACUCUCCACCACUGCAAAAGUCUGAUAUCAAACAAACGUGUGUGGAAGUCUGAGGAGAUGAAAAAAAAAUCAGUAUACUUGAACUUAUACCAUUAGUCAGCAAAUUAGAAACUUUCAAGCUGCAUAAAUGAAGCUUGAAGACAAUUAACCAACUUAUUACAACUCUCUUUGAACCCUGUUUUGUCUUCUUUUCCAUAGGAAUUAUAGAGCCAACACCAACGUAGUCAAAAGUCAAAUGCAGUCCAUAAACGAUUGUAGAUUUGAGACACAGAGUCCAGAUAUCUAUUUUUACUUGUCAAGCUUGCCAAGCAUAUGACAGGUCAUGGCUGGAUUACUUGUAUAACAGACACCAAUUCGAGAAUAGUAGAAAUAUCAUGUUGUAUGUGUGAUAAUCCCCUUGAAGAAAUACUGAUAUGUUAUUAAACUUGGCCUUGUAAGUUCGAUGAACUGUAUAAGUUGGCCCUCCAACUAAAAAGAGAAAUCCAAUCUCCUCUUUCAUUUAUUUGAAUUCUACAAGAAUAAUUCCUUUGUAAAACAUGUACAAUCAUUAGAAGGAACAGUGUCUGUCUGUCCUCUAAUGUUGUUGCAACAUAGGUUUAGCUUUUCGGGGUUAAGAUAGCAUUCACUAACAAGAAGAUAUAUUUGAUUUAGAUAAUAUAGAGGAUUGAACUGACUCCCAAUCAGAUACGUCUAUGCUUAUUAGUGCACAUGCAUAUGCAUGCAUGGAUGUAUCCAAAAUAUUCACAUGCAGAAUUACCUCAAAUGAGGUGUACAGUGUGGGAAGAAAAGGAUGGUCGAGUAGCGAAAUUAUCUCCCUCUCAAUGCAUGCUCGGUGAACCUGUAAUAUAAAAUAGCAAUAUGUGACCCUCAGAAUAAAUAAAGAUGUUAUACUGGUUAUGCACAAACAAACAUGGGCAUCCAUAUGUGUAUGUGUGAAAAUACCACACAUGUGCAAUCAAGAGCCAGACAUGCAAAGGCGCACAAGUGACACAUUCAUGCACAAAAUUGCAAAGCUCCUUUUCUGGACACCGCUGAGAUGUAUGCUUAUUCACUGCUGAAGAAUGCAGCUGUUCACUUAUGUGUUCAUACCUUGUUACGGUUCAACAUUAUUGACUUCUCCAUUGCCUUCAUAGCAUACAGUUCACCUGUACCUUGUAGUUCCACCAAAUGUACACUGCAAAAAUACCAUAGUAACGUAACUGAAAAUUAGAGAUCCAGAAGCUAGAUAAUGAAUAUUUUUUUGUAUGCACUGUAUAAACAAUUGCCUAAUAACCUGAAUAUAAAUACAAUUUUAGACGAAGAAAUGACAACAAUAACCGUAGCUGAACACCACUCAAUUACAUACAUCAUCAACGGUGAAUAAAUUGCACUACCUUCCAGUAUCACCGCAUCCCAAUGGUUUUAUGGGCUUAAAAUGAUGUAGACCAAUUUUUUCACCGCGAGCAGUAAUCUAUAGAAAAUGAAUAAGAUUAUUAAAAAGACAUUAGUGAUGGAGACAGCUUAUACAAAAACUUGUGAAGCUCAUAAACACUAUAUCUUGAUUCUCAACACCAUCAAGAAGUAACUGUAACUUGUGGUGGCCUAGAGACUACAGAAACUAAAAUACAUGUCAACACCACCACAAUGCAACUCAAUGGUAAAUAAGAAAGCUAAAACAUCUGAAUGCUGAAUAUAAGUAAUAGCGAUGUUAGUCAAAACACUACAAGUAAUAUCACUUGACAAUUAAAUUUAAAUUGCCUGUAUGUCUAUCUACCUCAGCUAAAAGAGAAAGAAAGUUAUAAAUAUGAAUCCGGAUAGCCAGUUUAAGAAAGUUAUAAAUAUGAAUCCAGAUAGCCAGUUUAAGUAGACUAAUAAAAUUCUUAACCUAGAGUACAUGAAGUUUAACACAAAAAUAUUAUUUGAAAAAUGGAUUGAUACCUCCCGUAUUGCUGUCCAAGAAGGAUUUUCCCUUUUGUGAGGCCUUGGGAAGACAGGCUGAGAAUGAAUUGCCCAUAAAUCUUCUGGUUUCUAAAUAAUUGAUAUAAUAUAAAAGUUGCAUCAGCUAUAGUUCCAAAUUACAGCCAUAAAGAUAUUAGAUCCCAUCAUUGCAUAAAAGAUGUAGCAACCAAAAAUGAAAUGAAGUGUAAAAUUAUUAAAAUCACAGAUAUUUUACAUUAUUUUUCAAUACCAAUUAUUAACCCAAUCUGAAUCUGAAAUAUCUCAAUAGAAUAUAUUUAAAUGUUUAUUUAGUUUAGAAAAUACAACCGAUCAACUCAUUGGACAUUUUAACUCAGCGCAAAAAGAGUACCUUACCAAGUUGGCAUCAGGAAGUUCUCGAACAGCCUCAUCAACAUUGUGUGCUGUAGCUUUGACCUGAUAAUAUAGAAAAAAACACUUAAACAUCAGCAGUAGUACAUGAAAAAGGUAUUAAAUAUACAUCAAUGAGACCAGUGAUAAGACUAUGCCAAACAUGGAUUGAAAAUGUGCUGAUGUGAGAUCAUAGAACGAAAGGUUCAUCAGUUUUAAAAGCAUCUAUUUAUUGCUCAUCUUGUCCAUGAUAACAAAUGCCCAAAACCGUAAGUAUUUUCUUUCUAAAAUGCAGUGUAUGUUGAAAAGUGAAAACAAGUUUAUUACCUAGCAAUCUACUUCUCCUUUUUUAUCUCUCUCAAUUAAUUGGGCCAUAUGCUGAAUGAUCAGGCUAUUGAAAUAUAUAUUCAAUUUCUAGCCAACUUCCAAAACAAUUGGCAUUGCUUUGAAAAGAUAUUCUUCUGACUAUUUAGAACUGUCACAUUAGGAAGGCAUCAGCAUCAUGACUACAACAGUACAUAAAUAAUUAAGUUCUAUAGACAGCAUUCAAAUAAUAGGAAAAUAAUUACCAAUUUAGAACCUUCUAGCUCUGUGGUCUCUGAUAGGCGAUUUCGCAGAGGUUCCACAUGACCACUCCCAUCCAGUUGGACACCAAUGAAAUAUUGAAGUUCACCCUAUAAAAAUUAAAAUCAACUCAACCAAAAUAAGGUAUGCAGGAGAAUUUGAUCAGAAACAAGUUUGAACCUACAAUAAGAAUCACAAAGUUACCUUCUGGUCACGCAUGGGCUGCAAAUGAAAUAAAUUCCAAAACUUUUUUCCUGCAAUUCAAGAAAUGAUAACCAUUAGGAAAGGAAGAUGUAACGCAAAACCUCCAAAACAAACGGAGCAAGUUAAACAGAAAAAGAAUUUAUACACCACAUGGCACUUGGCAAUCAAAUGUCAUUUAUAUUCUUGUCUUCCAGCCGGCAUGAACCAGCAAUUCAUUUAACUGGCAUUAUAGAUAUGUACAGCAUCAGAAAUUCCAAGGCUGCUUACCACUCUUUGUAUAGUUGAUCAACUGUACAGUAAUUUCCCUUUGUUCUCUAAUGGCAUCUCUUAUCUUUGCGACAGUAGCUUGAUCUGUUUCAGGUCCCUGGAGAAAACUAUGAAACAGAUAAAGAAGAUUAAAUUCCUAUUGCCAUCUCUAAUAAAGUUUCUCAUACAAAUGAACAAUAUACUAGAUAGGGGGAAUAGAUAGCAACAAUGACAAGUAAGUCUUAAUUCUAAUUUCAUACGAUUCAUAUUAGAUAGGGGAAGUUGGACUAAGAGUCUAAGUUACCUAAUUGAUAAUUAUAAAUGGAUAACAAGAAUACAAUAUAACAUGCUUAAGUUAAACAGCAGGAAGUAAAUGACCUUGUUAAGAAAAAUGCAUAAAUAGAGUACACUUCCUACCGACAAUUUCUUCCCAAAAUUUCUUCACGGGUAUAUUCUGUCAGUUCUAAGAAGCUAUCAGAUGCAAAUAUCUGCACAGAAAAGAGUCAAAAGACUAUUAAACUCAUUUUCAAAUAUAACAUGCACCAUGCUUAAACCAUACAUUUUAAUUCGAGUAAUUUUUCAGUGAAAACCUUGAUGCUUCUUAAGUGCAUAAUAAAGGAAAAUGCGAACUGAAUCUUCCUUGGGAAUAGUAGUAUUAAUGACAGUGAGCAAUCUUGUUCCGGCACGCAUUACCAGUACAGGAAAGCAAGCAAGUAAAAUGAACUAACUCUAUUAUCACCUAUCAUAUGCAGUGAUCCGCAGUCUGCAGCUAGAUAUCUUAGAAAAAGAACUACACACCUCAAAUGCUCUCUUAUAUGCUUGAAAUUGAGUUUGGCUUGCAAGAUGCAAUAUAAGUUGGAUAGAGAAACUACAAGAAAAUUGUAGAUCAAAUUUCAAAAAGUUGGUCCUAGAAAACAACAAAUCAACAACUGAACUUACUCUGUGUGAGUAAAAAUCAUUAGUUAUGGCUCUAAGUAGUUACAUGAGGUUGUAUAAUGUGGGAUCCUCAGCAUAGUGCAUUCAUGUGGUAGUGCAACAUCAAUUUAGAGAGGUGGAAAAUGAAAAUUGGAAUAUAUUUAAAUAAGAGUGAGACUGGAAGAAAGUUGCAUAUUAAAAAUAAUUAUUCUUACAAUGGGGCAAUCUGGAAUUCUAGGAUCACUAAUCACAAAGUUCUUUUCAAUGCGUUCCAAUGUGGUUGCCAAGUCAAUUCCUUGGCGUAUAUCCCUUUCUCUUUCAGUACCAUCCCAAUUGUCAGAGGGCUCUAUAUCUGUGGUCAUCAAAACCUCCGGUUCAAUAAUAGGUUCUUUUUCAUGCCUGCUUGCAGAGCUUAGAGACCGUGUUUUAAAUCUGCAAGAGAACAUCAAACACCUGAUCAAAUGGUGGUCAAACUAACUUUAAAUGUAACUUUUAAAUAUUGAAAUACGGGGAAUAUAGCAUUAAACACUGGUGAACAAUUACAAUUUGGAUUUGAAAAUAGAAUGUACUCACCCAAUAGAGGAAGUGCGUCCUGACUUUCGAGAUAUUUUGCCAGCAUCAAUAGGAGAGCUCAUGCUGCGAAAUUUAUCGCCUUUCACAUCCGAUUGAGGAGUUUGUCUACCAGGUGUACUCAUACUUGCAGUUGCAGCAGAUUUAGGCAGAACAUAAUCAGCGUUGAGGCUGUCCUGCUCCUCAUGAAUGCUGGCAGUGUCAUGACGCACAUCCUGGAUGUGAGAACGUGGAUGUCUUACUGUUUGGACAACUUCCGUAAUGGAGCCUAACGCCGUCUCCUUCUGGCGAGCUGAUCCAUAAACAACACAAUUCCAUUAGAAAUGAAGUAAGAAAACCAUUUAAAACUCCGAAAAUUAACCAAUUUAGCUUACAAUCAUAGCGGAUUAGCGACUUCGGCAAUCCAUUCGGCCUCAGUGCCCUGUCAUUCACUCCUUCUGUGUACUUGCUGACCUCAACCUGCAUUCUGCAAAAUCAAUAACUGUUUAUGUUUACUAGAAUGCUCAAAAUUCUUCGAAAGAAAAAAAAAACUAACUAACUAACUAACUAACUAACUAACUUGCAUUAAAAUCAAUACGUAGCAUUCAAAAUAAAAAACAAAUCAUAAAAUUCAGAAGUUUGGGGACUGACCCAAUAAAUUUGAUGGUGUUUCCUUUCUCAUCUUUGAUUGGGGUAAUGGUGAGAAGAUUCCAGAAGGGUGUUCCAUCUUUCUUGUAGUUGAAGAGCCUACCGCAGUAGCUUUUCCCGGUCUUGACUGCGUCUCGGAUUUUCGCCACUUCGUUCCGGUCCGUUUCCGGUCCCUGAAGAAAUCGGCUGCACCCAAAACAUCACAAAUUUAGGGCUCCAAUUUGUUUCCUUUCUUUUCGAUCUCUUCUUCUUGGCUAAGGUGGAGCCACACAUUGUGGUUAAUUGAAACUCGGACCAGAAAUUUUGACCGAAAUUGAACGAAACCCUAAAAUCACAGAAGGGGAUGAACUGAACUGAACUGAAAGGAGUGCGGUUGCGCGGUAAUUAUGUCCUGAUUUCAACUCACUGUGUAUUUAUAGCAGCUGUUUGGUUUAGCCUAAAACGACGGCGGGGGUGCAAGAAAUAAAUGACAGUAACCCAAAAUAAAAUGUCCGCUCUCAAUUUCAACAGUCGAAUUGAAUAAAUUAAACAUGAUCAAAUAAUCAAAAUUAACAAAUUAUGUGUAGAAGAUAAAAAUAGUGUGUAGGUAGCAUCACUGGAAAAGAAUCAUAGGAGGACCCCUUAUCAUCACCACCACUAAUUAUAAGAUAACUCAUUAUGACAUGUUACGUUGUCAAAUUACCGUCUAUUGAAACAAAAACAAUAUGUCUAAGAAAUGGUCCAAAUUGAUACUCGGACAUGCAUAUCAAACUAUAUUACCGCAUAAUUAUCAACGUCACCAUACAUUGAAGUUGUUUAAAUUAACAAUUUAACAACAUAACAUGUUAAACUGUGUGAUCGUAUAAUUUUCCAACACAUCUAGGCAAACCAAAAUGUGCUAAAAAUUAGUAACUUACCAGUUCCUGCCAAUGACCUCCUUCGAAGAGUACCCAGUCAUCCCAAAGAAGCCACUACUAGCAUACAUAAUUGGGCAAUCAGGUUUGUGGCGUCAGAAACAACAAAAGUCUGCUGAAGUGUUGACAGAGCUGCCUUCAACUCAUUAGAUACCCUAGGAAUAUUUCCCAUCUCACCCCCAUAAUUUGAGUCCUCAGAACUCCUUGCAGACGAAUCAAAUCUCCCCGAUGAAGUUUUCCUUCCAGAUACGCCCGUGAAGCUUCCUUCUCCAAUGUCUGAUGAUUUCACAACCACACCCCACUCAGCUGUUCUUGCUGCUAUUGUUUCCUUCUCUGUGAUAAUCUGGUUGUUGCCGGAAUUGGAAGCAUACCCUCCAUUUGAACCAGUGGCAGAAGUGCUUUUAGGAUCAGCCGAAGCCUGAUCAGUUCUGAAUGCCAUCCACUUGUUGAUGGAAUCCCUUCUACCAGCUGGAGCAGAAGUGCUUCCUGAUCCACUUUCCACAAUAUCAGCAGCUUGCUUGUUGCUAGGGUUUGCUCCAACAUCUUUCAGAUUCAAGACCUCCAUUGGAAACAGAAAAUUCACCACCUGUCAUCAUUUAAUUUAAAUUUUCAAAAAUUGUUGGAGAAUGGUCCACACAAAAUUUGUAAAUGUAAUCAUUGAAACAUAUCGCUCAACUCAAAAUUUACAAAAUUCACAAACCAAUAAAAAAAAUAUUAACAAAUAGAAUGUUAAAUUACAUAGGUUGCCCAAGCUAAGAACGUAAUCUAUAAGCUCGUUUCUCACAAACAGUGUCAAACUGUUCAAACUUGAGCGAAGUACUCCGCAGCUAAAGUUCAUCAAGAAUUUGCUAUUUUUCAAGCGCAGAGUGCAGUGGAAAAGAAUCAAACAUCACUCAUCAUUCAUCAAUUACCAUAAUUCAAAGUACUAGAGAUUAGCAGGCAAAGAAAUUAACUGAAAAUUGAAACUUUGCAUGGAAGGACCUGCUCGAAAAUCGAGUUUGAUGUCUCAGAAUAUAAAGUUUUCACUGAGCUUUGACAGCAAUGAAGGCAGCCAUGCCCAGUUCCAACAAAUCGACAAAAAUGGCAGAAUUCAUAAGAACCACCAGUCCUGAUGAAUUACAUAAUCUGUUCCUCUGCGAUCGUCUCUACCGUACGGUAUCAGAUAUAGUGUAAAAACUAAAAAGGUUUGUACUUGUGGUAGGUUUUUUUUUCUAUAUAUGGGGCUGGUGCAUUGCUGCAAAGAUAGGAAAAGAGAUGGAGAGGAAGAUAAGGCUCUUGUCCUGAGGUUAUUGCUCAAUAAAUAUGACCCCCAAAUUUCCCAAACGUAUCAAACGGACCGGCUUCUCUGUCCUCCCACUUCACAUACACUAUCAUCUCCUCCUCUUUUAUGCGAUCACGGUUAAGUCAUGUCAACAUUUUAUAUUGAUUUUUUUACAGAGAUAAUAAGACAAAAAUCAAUAUUAAUAUAUAAUAUUGAUGUGGCUUAACUAUGACCGCACAAAUAUGAGGAGAUGGAAGUGUAUGAGAAGUGGGAGGGCAGAAGCCAGAUCCGUAUCAAACAUGCAUAUGGUGAGAUCUUGGAAAGCUGCAUUUCAUCACAACUUUUGUUUUUUAUUGUGUAAUCUCACACCGUCACGUGAUAUUAUCACUUUACUCAUAUUUUUUUAAUCAUUAAUACUCACACAGCUAUUUAGUAUUAUCAAUUCAAUGUCAUAACACGCAUAUAUACUGACCCGUUUUGUGGGAUAAAGUUUUGUUGUUGUUGUUAAUGUUGAUCUAUGGACACCAUUUUUCUCCGUUUAUGCACCUUUGUUCAUUUCUAAUCUUUGAAAUUUAUGUUCCUUCAUUCUUCUUUUUAAAUGUGAAAAAUAAACAUGAUUGUGCAUGAGAAGAACAAGAGGCGUUCAGAAAUCACUUCUUUGUUUAUUAAUAAUAUAAUCCUUAUAUAAAAUAUCAGUUAUAUCGUAACAUGUGGAUUAACAACACUUUGUCCCAACAUGAACAGUUUGGAUAUGUGUAAGACUGUGUAGAGACCAUAGGUUUUUUCCCAUUUAUCCAUUCAUUUUCUACAUGUAAGUUGAUUUGUCACAUUUGAUUUGCCUUCCUUGUGGGAUAAAGACUAUAAAUGCGCGGAGACCUCAAUGAUAAAUGCGGAUGGGAACAGGCUAGAUGAUAGGUGAAGAAAUAUGGGGCCAGAAAAGACCAAUAUUGAGGUAUUAUAUAUAGUUGAGGAUAGGAUAAUGUUAUCUAUACAUUUUUUUUUUAACUUAUCACACAUUUUUCGUUAAUUUAUGUAUUUUGAUCUUUUUCAAUUAUUUAAUCCGACAGCCGAAAAUUAAAAAAAAUGUGUAAAAGAUUAAAAAAAAUGUGUAGAUAGUACCACUCAGAAAAUAUACAGAUUUCGCCAUCACUUUUAUAAAUUUGUUUGUAGUGUUGCUUGCUCAUGUACAAAAUGUGUGGCAUCAGAGAAUGCUUGCUACGCCAACUAGCCAAGGACCACAGUAUAACAAAGGGGCUUGCAAGCUUCCACGCACCCACAAAUACACGUAUGCGAGUCCACACUGUGAAUCGGAUUAGGAGAAAAAGUAAAUCAUUUCUCUUUCUGUACUUAUUUCUUUGUUUUGUCUCUUAAUUUCUUUUUUGAAUUUAUUAAAUCUAACUACUAGAAAAGAAAAUGAGUGUAGGGAAAAAGAAAGCGAGUAUAUUGUUUUCCAUAAGAGAAUAACAUUUUUGUACGCGCACGUCUCAACGCUUCGCAUGACUUAUAUCUCAUAUUAAGAGUGAGAUACAACAUGGGGAUAUAAAACCGUUUUAGGAAAAAAAAUUGGAUAUAAUGGGAUAUCUCUCUUUUCUUUCUAUAUUAUAACGUGAGCGGAUCACAUGAUGAGCAGUGUCCGCCUUUAGAUUUCAGGAACCCUGUGCGAAAGUGAAUUGGAGGCCCUAAAAAAUACUAAGAAUUUAUUUUUUAUUUUUUGUUAAAAAAAAAACUUUAGUUUUCAAUUGAGCUUAUAUAAAUUCUAAUAGCACAAACAAAUUUAACAAAUCAACAAGUGGAUAUGUGGCAUAUUGUUUUUUCUUAACUAUUUAGAGGGUUCGAAUUGUCAUAUUAUUGUGUGAAAUUUUUAUAUUAUUUUGUGGAAGCUUAUGCAUUUAAUAAAAAUAAACGGAAAAAAAAAGAUGGACACAAGUUUUGAACCCAUCCCCUAGGAUGAUGUAAAGAAGUAAUAAUAUCAUUUGCGCUAAGACUCAAGUUUGCAAUAUUCUACACAUACACCCCCUGUGUAUAUAUACGUAUAUGCAUGCAAAAUUGAAAAAUCAGAGGCCCUUCCAAUUUGGGGGCCCUCUGCAGUGGCACCACUUGCACCCCCUCAAAGCCGGCUCUGAUGAUGAGAAAUAUAAAGAUAAUAGUAUGGUCGAUUACAUGAAAGAAUAUCUCUCAUUUCAUUUAUUUUUCUGUCAUAUCAAUCCUUACCCACAAACUCGGCUCAAUGUGACUUGGAACUAAUAAGUCAUUGCAGCUAUAUUAAUUAAUUUGAUUACAAAUUUCCAUCCAAAUUGGUGUUGCCUAGACUUAUUGUUUGUCAAGGAAUUGACUAAUGACUAGGGAUAUAUAGCUUAGGAAUUAAUACAUUGAAUUCGCAUCCAAUCAAGUGUCAAAAGAAAUUACAAAAAUAAAGUUUCUUAUUAAGUUGAUUAGAGCAGUGUGUUUUUUUCUCUACAUUUGCAAUUUAGAUUAAUUUAGUCUACUCCUUCGUGUCCGUCCUAAAAAUUAGUGUGUGAUUACUUUUUAGAGUGAACUUCUUAUGUUCCUCAAGUUUUAUUAAAUUAAAAAAUUUGUAAAUUAACAACGAAAUUCAAAUGAUUGUAUAUACACCAAAUAAAAAUUAGAUUCUGAUAUGAGUUCAUGUUUGACAUUGUUGAUAUCUCGGUUGUUUGAAAUCUACAAGUCUAGCAACUCAUGUCGUGGCUAUUGGUGAAUGCAGGAUUUAGAAGAAGGUUUCAUUUGAUUUAUCGAGAUAUUUUUAACGUGACCACAACUACUUUUACGUUGCAUUACAAAUUUAACAAUACUAUAAAAUACGUGUUUGUUUAUAAAAAUAAAAUUACUAUCUACAUAUUAUAAUAAAUAAAUUAAUAACAUCACGUAUACGUCAAAUUAUCGUCGAGCCGACCACGUUUGAUGUUUUUUUUAGCCAACUCUCCACAAGUUUUCCAUCAAAUCUGCUUCGUCGCCAAGAUGAAACAAGAACAGCAAAACUUCAUGUAGUGUACUGUGCCUGGAAUGGAAGGUCCAUGUCACGUGGGGCAGCGACAAGACACGUGGCAGCAUUUGCAGCCGUAUGAGCAACGAAGGUCACGUGGACACGUGUCGUAAUGUCGGUCGUGAGAGCUACCAUGGAUUUUGUGGUGGCUGUAAGGGGCCUCAUCCACCACCCGCUAGGGUUGGGUAGGGAGGGUCCAUUCCAACUCCUGCAACAAACAAUCUCAAGGAAAUAUUUCCCCUCCCUCUCGCUCUCAGUAGUAAUUGAGUUUAUGGGCCUGGGCACGGUUCGGUACCGAGGUGGUACCGAAACCUCUUAUUAGUUAAUUACGAGUUCAUGAUUAGUAAAUAAGGAAAACUAAUGAUAAAGGUUUGAAAACUUUGAGUUUUAAUGAUAAGGAAAAAAUAAAGGGUAAAGUGAAUAGUACCAUGAUUGACUUUUUAGUGUAAAAAUGUGGUUUUCCGUUAAAGUGAACAGUACCACAGACUUUUUGUUAAAACUCCCUAGUAAAUAUGUAGAAAGAGACUGAUUUCUCAUGUCAAACAUUCAAGCAUGUCAUGUUGUUGAAUCUUAAUGCAUUCAAUCAUGCUCAGAAUUGUGCUAUAAGAACAUAUACAUUUAAAGGUGUCAAACAAAUAGGCCAACGUCAGCUCGUUAAAUUAAGGCAUCAUCAGCCCAAUCCGUUUAAAAGCGGCCCUAGCUUAUAACAAGUGCUAGGUCGAGAUUAUGGCCAACAGGUCGACCCAACAUGUUUACUAAGUGGGCCAACUCAAGUACGACUCAAACAUGCACUCCAACUUGAAACCGAGAUGUCCAUUUGACACUUUGUUAAAGCUCAAAAAGUAGAAUAAUUAGCCCUUGGUAGGCUUGGAAUUGAAAGUAAAAUGAAAUAGACUCAGGAUUUAAGUGGUUCACCCCAAAACAGGACUACAUCCUCUGUGUUGCUCAUAUUAUAUUGAUUUCAAAGUUUACAAAUAGCGCUCGGCUAAAUACAAGAAUUCUAUGUCCCUUAAGUUGUCUAACCCCCUUACAAGAGGUUCCCACCCCCUUAUAUAGGCCCUCCAUGAACUCAGAAAGCCUUAGGCUCACCUAGUCUUAUUUUUCAAGCAUUUAAUUUGACACCUAUAUCAACUAGCGUGCUGACAACCUUUUUGACCAUCAGUCGAUAUUCAGUAGUGAAAAGACACUUGCUCAGUCGGAAUUGCACGCCCUUCAAGAUCAAUGUGUGUUGAGCAACCUACCCGAUCUUGAUUAGUCAACCAUGUCACUCCAAGUAGCAGCCCAACCGCCUUUACGUCUCGUCAUAGACUUCUGACAUGUGCCUUGAGUGGUGCUUGAGUAGGUAUGCUCCUAAAGAUUUGUACCAUAAAGUUGUCGCUCUUCCCAUGUGUCUUGGGAGUCGGAAAGUACUUUAUGUUGGUCAGUCGGACUACGCUAGUGAGUGGUCCCCCUCUUUAAUUUUGUUGAGCCUUGGGCUUCUUAUUCUUCUUUGGGCUUUUAACUUUUAUUGGGCCUUUCGUGGCCUUUUUCCUAGCUUGCAUUAUUUUUAGUGUUGAAAAGGGCCCUGCAUUAACAAACCUCUAUACACACCAGACAUAGUGGUAUUCCUUAGUAUGGCUUGUAUCGCAUAGAGGUUUUGAGUUUAAAUCCCUUUUUUUUUAGUAUCGCUUGUAUCGUAAAAAAAAAAAGGAAAAAAGAAAGAAAGAGGAAGCAUUUUUUGCCCAAAUAUUCUACGUAGUUAUAGUGUGAAUCCAAACCGUUGAUUAGGUGGUACAUUUUAUAGUUAGGUUCUUAAUUACUUUAUUCAGCCUUUGCCAAUAUGGCAAACGAAUCACAGUGCAUAAAUUAACUAGAAUGCAGGAAGAAGGCCUUGCUCCACCAAAAAGAGGCAAUGCAAUCAUCAAACAUCUCUUGGAUACUCUUAAACUUGAACCCUAGACCCUAGACUCUCCAUCUUUGAGAUGUUCAACUCAUAAUAAUGUGGCCUCCCUAGUUGCUCAAACCUAAAAAUUCUCACGUAAAAUUCGAUUAAAAAUCAUUGAUAUAACUGAUGCGAAUAGCGUGUGACGCUUUUUUUUCUUUUUUUUUUUGGGAAUUAGGAGCAUAAAAAAUGGAUCGGCCCAUAGUAGGAACCGACAAAUUAUGCUUAAUUAAUUGUAGCUGGUAAAAAUAUCAAACUUUGUGGGGAUAGGCAAGGAAGGAUAUCUUGUAGAUAAUAAGGAACCCAACUCAGUGUUGUUCGUAACCGUUGAGCUACAAAUAUAUCUGCCAUGAGCACUUUCAUGCUCAUAAACUAAGAUGUGACAGAGUGCAACAUCAUCAAUAUGAACAUAUCCCAUCCUUCCAUGCCACUUAAAUUUCUCUGUUUCCCCUGCUUGAUUAUUCAAACAAAUAACCGUGUAAUGUGCUUAUAAUCGAAGUUAAGUAAACGAAGAACUAGCGCGAAAAAUCACGAAGAUAAAUCUGCAGUAGUAGUACCUUUAAGCAGGCCAAGAACAUCUGAUGCAGUAGAACACAACUCAGGUGGCAAACAAGGUCCGAUCACGAACGAGGGUAGGACUGUGACCAUAUCAAUCCCAUUUUCUUUGCAGAAAUCCCAUCCUGCUUCCUCAGCUAAAAUUUUCGACAUAGGGUACCAAAUCUAGUGAAAUAGGUGCAGAUGCAUAAUUUGUCAGUUAAACGGUUUGGACGGAUUAUAUGUAAUGCACAUGGAAAAGAAAACAUUGAGCUUAAGAAAUGUAAUAGCACAGAUCAAUAAAUUCGGCAUUACUUUGCUUUGCAGCUAGGUAUUAGUAUAUAUGAGAAGGGAUGCAUUCAAAGUUAUGCUGAAUUCGCCGAACAAAUCUGUAUUGGUUAGACUACACACUACAGUUAGCAAACAAUCUGUCCCAACGCAAACUCCUUAACAAGGACAGAGGGAGAGUAUUGUUAACUACACCUGAAGAGUCACCCAGAGUUCGACAGAGCUCCAAGAUGACUCAUCCAGUGGUACAUUGGAGGUGAAAUCCCCAUCUGGUCUCACCCUUACAGCUGCAGAAGAUGAGGAGAACCACGCGCCUUAGAGACGGAUUUUUCUUACACGAAUGCAACACGUUCAAUGUGCCCUCAACAGGCGGUUCCAGGAUUUCUGUCUGUGUACACUGUUAGAGUAUGAGUGUGAUUCUUACAGUUUAGUAAUAAUCAUUGUUAUUUUAGAUUGGUACAAAGAGGUCUUAAUGUGUUUAUAAGAGUUAAUUCAACUUUGGUUUGGAUUGAAACUCUACUGUUGGCUCGAGAAUAGAACUCAUACUUAUACAAGGUUUUGGUCUUGUAUUCCUUGUAGGAUUGUAAUAGGGCAAUCUAUGUUUAGUAUAAAAACAUAAGCCACUGCUCUCACAAAAGAUAUGCUCAAUAUUGAACUAAGACCUAUUGUUAGUUUGAGUACUUUUGGUUUUGCAAGAGAGGAGAAGGUGCACUGUUUAGAAGUCUACUUUGGCUUCUUCUUCUGCUGCUUUUAUGAGUUAGUUUGUCAUUGUGUUUAUUAAAUUGUGAUUUUAAUACUUAUAUAAAUUUGUGGUUCAUGAGCUUAAUCUCUUAACUUAUAUUUUGAUGAGUUUAAUCUUACAUAUGGUAUCAGAGCCAAAGAUUUUUUCUCUUGAAUUCAAAUUGAAAGUAUUAAAUUAAAAGAGCAAAAUAUGUGACGGUAAAUUAGCAGGGUUCAGGCUUAGUUUGUGAGAAAUUUUGGACUUUGAAUUGAGUUUCUUGUAAUGAAUAUCAUGUUUGCCGCAUAUAGUCUUGUAACUUUGGCAUGUUGCUGCCAAACGAAUGAAAGGAUAAUGAAUCAAUUCAAUUUGAUAGACUUCGAUUAUAAAUAUGGUGUGCGGCAUUAUACACAAGUUUCGUAAGUAUAAAUGGUUGAGCGUAUUAUUUCAUAUCGGGAUCUUGGUAUAUAUAAUUUAUGGAACAACACGCUUCUUAUUGUCAAUUAUUGAUUUUCAAUUGGAUUGAUUUUCAAUUGGAUUGAUUUAUGUCAAGUUUGGAUUGGAAUUAAUAGAAUUGACUGCAUAUCAUGUAUUAUUUAUACGGUUCAAAUUCGUGAUAUUAAUUUUCGUCAAAUAUGAAAGCUUGUGGGUGCUAUGGAGCAACACAUACAAAUGAAUAUAUAAGGUAGAUGUUUUAUUGACUGCCUACAAUGAGUCUUGCGACAAUAAACUUUUAGCCAUUUACAAAAUGUAUAUUCCAUUAUGUAUCGGAAAGCAAAUAAUUAUUUUGUCAUCUUACUGGAAAAUCAUAAGAUUAAUGAUAUGUAGCUGUCAUUAUUUUCUCCAAUGACUUGCUUACAAAUAUGUAUAUAAUUGAUGAUAGUGUUGACAAUGAAUUAAAGGUAUGAAGAUUUUUAAUUUGGAUUAUUGUCAACUUAUGUUAUCAUAUAUAAAUCUUAGGAUUAAUAGAAUUGUUAUUGUAAAUAUGUCAAUUUAUUGAAUUGCAUAUGUCGAUAUUGGAGGCCAUGGUUUUGUGUCUAGAUGCAUCUAAUGGUUAGUCUAAUAAUUAACCUUUUUAUUUGUUGUGGUUAUUAAAUUAAUGGUUUGAUAUUAGACUAAUAAAGCAUUAAUGCAUGUGACACAAUCGGUUUUGAGGCAAGAAGCUAUUAUUUGUAAUUUUUAUAAGGAUUAUCUUGAAUGCAACUUGUGUAUUUGUAAUUAUGAAAUAUUGGUUUUGAGGUUUCUUGGUUUGAAGACAUUUAUAUGUUGUCUAACAUAUUCUAAGAGAUACUAAUGUUCAUAAUUUUUUUUACGGGAAUUUGUGUUGACGAGAUACAGGCCGAUAACUUUUGACGAUGAUUUUGGUUCGGCGAACUUGUAACACUAGAGAUUUACUUCAAUAAUCUGCAAUAUUACGGGAUCCAUGUGAAUCUGGAGUGAAGGCAAUCUGCAUGGAUGGUUCUCAAGCAUUGAUGGAUAGUUUGUUUCGUUGAUGUGGAGUCGAGGAAUCUCAGUCGGGUUGACUAAUACGGGUCCAGUGAUGCAUUCGGGUAACUCAUUUCACUGUUUCAUGCAUGAUUAAUUGUUCUCUUAUAUGCAUGAUUAUAGUGUGAUGAGUUAGAGCAUGAUGAAUUAGGGCUUUUGUUAUUUCGAGUAUGCUUGUUUAUUUAUAUAUAUUGUGAAGGCAUGAUUACACUCGAAAUCCCUAUAUAGAUGCCAACUUGUGAUUUAUGUGAGAUGUUUGAAAUCAUCUUUUGAUAUGUUUUAUUGAUUGCCUCAAGUGAAUUUUGCGGCUAUAAAGUUGGGUUUUUCUAAUGGUCGUGAUUUCAUUCUCAUUAUUAUAAAAGUAUAUGUAAACAUAUAUAUGCAUCUUUUUGAGUAUGCGAUUUAUUCAUUAUUUUGGGCACAUGAUUUAUGGUUGGCGUAUUAUAUCAUUCAUGGUGUAUACUUGAAAAUAAAUAAAUUAGGUUUUCAAUUUAUAUACCCUCUAUGGGGUCAUAUAUAGACUUGUUUGGUGUACAUUCUUGUGGUGUUGACAUUGAAUUCACGAUAGGAAUUUUAAUUUGGGUUACCGUCACCUUAGUUAUUAUGAACAACACAAAUUGACAUUGCCGAAUGCAUAUUGAUUUAAUUUAUGAAUUCAUAAGAAAGCAUGUGCUUAAUAUUGUAUUGUGAAAAUCAAGGAGUUUAAGAUGCAUGCUUGUUGUAUAUGUAUAUUUGUGAUUUCAUUUAUGAUGCAUGCUUCCGCUAUUAUGUUUUGGUUGAAAUCACAAAUAGGGAGGAAGAUGAACUUUGAGUUCUCCAGAACAAAUAGUGGUCUUGAUUAUCUUGUUUUAAUCAAGACAUGUUGUUGUGAUAUAUAUCUAGACAUUAUCAAAAUUUGGUCGAUCUUGCUCGAUGGAUAUUGAACUAGAUAUUGAACUAGAUAUUGAACUAGUUAGGAUCAAAUUGAAUGCAAAAAUAUUGUGCUUGCUAUUCUGAUUUUGAUCAUUGUUGAAACUAGUGAUUUUGGGUUUAUGUGAGAUAAGUUUUUCCGAAUGGAUUGUGACUAUCUUUUGAUACAUAGACUAUUUGCAUAAUGGUUUAGGUGUAUAUGACUAAACUGAGAUUAUGCAAUUGGUGAGGAAUCAGGAACCAAUUGGUUCAUAUCUCUGGUUUCUUUAUUGGUUGUGCAAUACAUUUUGCUUAUGCUUAAGUGGGAGAAUCAUAUGUUCGAAUGUAAGCAUAAGACUAAGAGUUAGGCCGGCCAUUAUAAUUCAUUUGGUUGAAUUAUUUGUGUUACUUAAUUUGUUUAAGUAAUGAGAAGGAUCCUAUUAUGUCGGUUAGCAUUCAAAAGGAAAUGAAUUUGGUUUCCAUAUGGAUUCUGAUUAGUCAUUCAUUGUAUUGGAAUGAUUUUUAGUUAAUAUAGUUGCUAUACCACAUCUUUUACUUAACUUGGUUGUGUUGAGUAUGGCCUAGAUAAGUGGGAGCAAAUUGGUUUGGUUUUGCUAUAUUGGUUCACAUAAUUACAAAGUGCAAAUUAAGUAUGUUGUGACUUUUGAGUUAAUUCUGCGAUGUAACAGAAAAGAUUCUUAAGUUCAAUACUUUAAAAUGCAUAGGUAAGUUGUAUGUGAGGUUAAGCUUUUGUUAUCCAAAAGAUUUGGUGGCUAUAUGAGUGGGAGUAGACCUCUUGGUUUACUUUUGAGCUUAGAUACAUUGCUAUGAACACAAACUGGACAUUGUGAUUUGUAAGUUAAAUUUGUAUAUUGUGUUGCAGAGGCAAUUAUAAAUUCAUUGUUUUGGUUUAUGUAAGCUGGUUGUGUCUAUGUACUAGUGUGGUUGAAGAAUGACUUAUGUGAUCACCUUUAUAUUGAAUUUGAGAUGAUUAUUUACUGUUGUGAAUCAUACUCAAGUGGGAGAAUGUUAGAGUAUGAGUGUGAUUCUUACAGUUUAGUAAUAAUCAUUGUUAUUUUAGAUUGGUACAAAGAGGUCUUAAUGUGUUUAUAAGAGUUAAUUCAACUUUGGUUUGGAUUGAAACUCUACUGUUGGCUCGAGAAUAGAACUCAUACUUAUACAAGGUUUUGGUCUUGUAUUCAUUGUAGGAUUGUAAUAGGGCAAUCUAUGUUUAGUAUAAAAACAUAAGCCACUGCUCUCACAAAAGAUAUGCUCAAUAUUGAACUAAGACCUAUUGUUAGUUUGAGUACUUUUGGUUUUGCAAGAGAGGAGAAGGUGCACUGUUUAGAAGUCUACUUUGGCUUCUUCUUCUGCUGCUUUUACGGGUUAGUUUGUCAUUGUGUUUAUUAAAUUGUGAUUUUAAUACUUAUAUAAAUUUGUGGUUCAUGAGCUUAAUCUCUUAACUUAUAUUUUGAUGAGUUUAAUCUUACAUACACAUGACAUGAGUUAAGGACAAUACUCUUGUAGAAGACUAUUAAUUUUAGGCAAAACGUUCUCUUGUCCCGCAUGCUUUGUUUUAGACUAUCAAUCUCAGCUAUUAGUAUGCCGAAACUUUGUUUAACUGUAUGAUCUGUAUUGAUGGUGUGACAACAAAACAUGUUAUAUAUUUGACGAGAAAAGGUUAAACAUGCAACGUGCCUUGGGAUCAGACGAAGUUUUUAAAACAGGGGAAGCAGAGUGGAAAACGCCAUGGCACCCAAAAAUUGCAUCAUCAAAGCUGCCUUCUUCCAUCAAAUCUGCCUUCACCAAUCUUAGUCUUUCCUUAGUUCCUUCUAGCCUCCACAAAUGCGCCAAUUUUUUCUCGUUUUCCCUUGAACUCAUGGAGAAAACCACAUAAGUUUUGUGUCAAAAAACCAAAUCCAAUGCUACUUCAAGCAGAUUGACUUGGGGGUUAUGGUACCUACCUGGAUCCUUACAGUCCCCGUUACAUGAUAGUCGGACAACAGAAGCCACUUUAUAAGCCAGGAUGCCAGAAAUCCAGAAGCCCCGUAACACAAACUUUGCCUUUAGAAUCGAGUUUUCGAUCCAUCUCUAUUCAAACUUAGUAGUGUUUUAGUCCAAUUGCAUUCCAGGCCACUAGAUUUUAUAAGCAACGUAUAAAUGUAGACAUUGUAAACAUACAUGCUAUGUGCAUUGGGAUUUCUCACUAAGAAAUGUUUAGGUAAGCCAUCCUAUGCCAUCACGGAAAUGAUUUUUGGCUUGAGCUAUGGUUAGAAGUAGGCAAGUCAUGCAAAAGUGAUGAAGUCCGAUGCCAUACACCGCCAAUGUGACGCCCGUCCUAAUCAUAAACGUUAUAUGGAGAAAAACUUACACUUGUAUGAUUCGCACGACACGUGGUGGUAAUUGUAUACCUUCUAUGUAAAGUCCUCUUCCACAACAGCAAAUCUCUAAAUUGUCACUAGGUCCACUUCCCUGUUUGGCAGAUCGGAUAGAGGAUCGGAUAGGACUAAUUAUACGGACGCGGGUGUUUGGCGUUCACUCGUACUAAAUAAGCGCCAGAUUAAAUUAACCGGUGUGCUUAUUUAGCACGGUAUACACCGGACUAAUAAAACCAACCAAAAGGCCGGGAUUAUUAAUCGGCCCUCUCUCUCUCUCGCCUUCUCUCGGCCCUCUCUCUCUCUCUCUCUCUCUCUCUCUCUAGGCGUCGUCGUCCUCCCCCCCCCGGUCACCUUCUCUCACCAUCGUCGUCCUCCCCAUCGCCGUCGCCGUCGUCGUCCUCCCCUGCAACUGGGUCUUGCAAAGAAGCAUGCACUCUCUUGGCCGGCAUGGUGUCUGGGAAACCUCUCUUCUCAAAACGCCAACAAACUACUCUCCUUCUCUCUGUCAAACCGCCGCCAGUCCAUUCCACUUGCGAUGCUGCAGUGUAGGAGGUAACCUUGUCAACAAAUCGUUAGUUUGUUUCGUUUGUUGCAUCUUGAUUUGGGUUGAUGUGGAUCUGAUGACUCAUGGUUGCUCACCAGAUGUGCAGGCAGGCGGGGAAGAAGAACGGAGAGAGAGGGAGGGUGUUUGAGGGGUGCGGUGGAGAGAACGGGGAAGAAGAAGGGAUGGUUUCAAAUUUUAUUUUUAUUUUUAUAAGUUUAAUUUAAUUUUAAGUUUGAUUUAGCCUAUCCGGUAUACAACCAAACACAGUAUAAAUAAUACGGUCAUUAGUCCGAUACUGCACCAAACGCCCGACUAAUUUAGUCAGUACUAUCCAGUGGCUAUUUAUCCUAUCCGACAGAAAUAGUCAGUACAGUCCGAGCUGCCAAACGAGACCUCCAAAAAUCAUUUUGUGGGCCUGACCUCACAUUGUCAUUGAGACCAAACUCAUCUACCCAAUAAGGCAUAUCGAAGCCUCAUUGCUCUAAGGCCCAUGUUUCUAGGGGCACUUUCUUUUUAGAUUAAAGAUGAAAAUGAAAUUUGAACUUGAUUGACGAAAUUCAAACUCAAAAUCUCUUUUAAAUAUUAGAGAGAGAAAUACUAUUACUAAAUGCUAGCUGUUUCUAGUGACACCUUUUAAGUUGAUUAGUCAAUGAAAUUGAAUUCAUUUAUUUAGCUUUCCAAAUUCUAUACCUUUGAUGACCAUUUUGUCUCACAGUACAUAUUAUGAGCUUUGUUAGGCAAUAUGGUAAGUCCAAAUUUCAUGAAUGAUGGCUGUUGCCAUUAUACUAUAUGUAGAUAUGGCAUUGAAUUUCUUGAAAAGAAACACGGUGUUAAAAAAACUAAUGCAAACACCACUUGAUUACUCUUUCUUCUUGUUAUUCUCUAAUCAACUAAAGCGGGAAAUUCGAACUUGAGAUCUCUUCUAAUAUUGGGAAGACAAAGUCACUGGACAUAUUGUAAGAAAUGUGAACUGAAAUCAUUACAAAUCUUGAUGUUCCUGCGUUCCAAUUUAUAACUUUUAUGUGUUUACUAUGACAAACGGAAUUGGAAAAAAAAAAAGGGGUCUAGAUUUCACCUCAAACCCCAUAAUUAAAUACCUAAAAAUUAGGAUGAGAUUAACUACAAGUACCAGUUGAUUCAAUUUAUAUUUAUUUUUAGCUUUCUCGAUUAGUGUUUUCUCACGUAAAAAUAAAAAAAAAUCAAUAAUUUCAAUUAAAUCCCCUUUUUAUAGAAAAAAAAAUUCCAAUUAAAUUGCGCCUAAUGUAAGUACCACUUCCUAUUCUCAUUUGGUUUUGGUUUUGAGGCAAUCACAAUAUAUAUCCAAGAGAAAUAAAAUAAAUAUUUAUAUAUAAAUCCCUUACAAAAUAUACAAGUGGAAGAUUGUCUUGAUGAAUACGGCAUUAAAUUUCGACCUGCUAAAUUUCGAAUCCAUACAUUUUCCUCUCCACAUAUGGAUUGGAGUAAAAUAUCAAAAGAGGGAACAAAUAAAACAAGCAGCAAAAGGCCAAGCCACCGUCUUCUUGUUCUUUCUUCUCACUAACUCUAUCUCACUUCUUCCAAUUCAAAUUAAAUCCAAGACAUUUCCUUUCUCCAUUGAAUAAAUCACAUAUAAAUAAACCAAAAAUAAGGCAUUUUCCUUACAUUGAUUUGAUGCCCUACCCGCCGGUUUAAAACGGACCCCCCAAUAACCCCAAACCCAACAAACCAAUCUGAAAAUAUAUAAAAAGUUCCAAUUUUUGUCUGAAAAAUCUGGUUUCCGCCGACGAUGGACACCGGCGGCAACUCUCUAGUGUCGGGUCCCGACGGAGUGAAGAGGAAGGUGAGCUAUUUCUACGACCCAGAAGUGGGAAAUUACUAUUAUGGGCAGGGACACCCGAUGAAGCCCCACCGGAUUCGGAUGACCCACGCCCUCCUCGCGCACUAUGGCCUCCUCCAGAACAUGCAGGUCCUCAAACCCUACCCGGCCCGCGACCGCGACCUCUGUCGCUUCCACGCCGACGAUUACGUGGCGUUCCUCCGGAACAUCACCCCCGAAACGCAGCAGGACCAGCUGCGGCAGCUCAAGCGGUUCAAUGUCGGCGAGGACUGCCCUGUCUUUGAUGGGUUGUACUCGUUUUGCCAGACCUAUGCUGGUGGGUCGGUCGGCGGCGCUGUGAAGCUCAACCAUGGGAUUUGUGAUAUUUCUAUUAAUUGGGCUGGUGGUUUGCACCAUGCUAAGAAGUGUGAGGCUUCUGGAUUUUGUUAUGUGAAUGACAUUGUUCUUGCAAUUUUGGAACUUCUUAAGCAGCAUGAGGUUAGCUAAUUUGAUUGCAUAGUGUUCAAGUUUGAACUUUUUUAUGUUUGGAUUGUUGGGUUUGUUAUGUUUUGUAUGAUCUCUGACUUGGGUUCUCAAAAAUGUUAAUUGCAUAGUUAAAGUCUGAAUUUUUGAUGUUGGGUUUGUAUUGUGUAAUCUCUGAAAUGGGUUACUGAAAUUGUUAAUGUUUUGCCUGAACAGCGCGUUUUGUAUGUGGACAUUGAUAUCCACCAUGGAGAUGGUGUUGAGGAGGCGUUUUACACGACUGACAGGGUCAUGACGGUUUCAUUUCACAAGUUUGGUGAUUAUUUUCCUGGCACGGGGGACAUUCGUGAUAUUGGUUACGGGAAAGGGAAGUAUUACUCCCUUAAUGUUCCGUUGGAUGAUGGGAUUGAUGAUGAGAGCUACCAUUACUUGUUCAAGCCCAUCAUUGGGAAGGUGAUGGAAAUUUUUAAGCCUGGGGCUGUGGUUCUCCAGUGUGGUGCUGAUUCCUUAUCUGGGGACAGGCUUGGUUGCUUCAAUCUUUCCAUCAAAGGCCACGCCGAGUGUGUUAGGUAUAUGAGAUCCUUCAAUGUCCCGCUCUUGCUUCUAGGUGGCGGUGGCUAUACCAUUCGCAAUGUUGCUCGUUGUUGGUGCUACGAGGUAUACUUCUCAUAUUCUGUUUUACCUUUUAAUGUUUCCAAAGUAUUUCACUUAUGAUAUAAUUGUGCACAUAUAGCAUGAUUUUUAUUGCAAGUUAUAAUCUCUUGCCAUAUAGCAUGUUAAUGUUUUGUGAUUGCAUAAUACGACUAUAGUGCCUGGCAGAUGACUACUCCUUAAUACACUGUUGUAAAUGUGAGAUGCGUAGUUUCACAGCAUCUGUAUGUGGUGCAUCUAAUUUUUGUUUAGUCUUGAGUCUUUGGAAUUUGUUUGUUUUUGAUAUGUUGUUUGUAAUACAGACAGGAGUAGCACUUGGAGCAGAAAUUGAGGACAAAAUGCCACAGCACGAGUAUUAUGAGUAUUUCGGUCCAGAUUAUACUCUUCAUGUUGCCCCAAGUAAUAUGGAAAAUAAGAAUUCUCACAUGUUACUAGAAGAAAUACGGUCAAAGCUUCUUGAAAACCUCUCCAGGCUGCAGCAUGCACCCAGUGUCCAGUUUCAGGAAAGACCUCCUGAUACUGAGCUUCCGGAGGUAUGUUUCUGCAACUAAUCAUUUUCUCAGCUAAUUUAUUUCCAUCUUCUAUAUUCAUCAAAACAUAAUAAUCAUUUGACUGAAAUUGUUUCUUCUGAUUUGACAUGAUACAGCUAAAGUGCAUGACCUUUUCUUUUGUCUAAAGUCUAAAUUGGUAACUUGUAAUAGACAACUUCUUGUUCUCAAGAUUUCUAAUAACAUAAGCUAACUGGUGCCUGCAUUGACUCCAAAGCCACAUUGUUCAUGAGCAGAAGAUCCAAAUUUCUGUCUUUUUCUUCCAUUUAUUUGCUAUCAAGCUUACAUUUUUGACAUUCCUAUGUUUUCCACUUCCUUCCUGUAAUAUGAUAGUUCUUGUUCCAUAACUGGUAGAAUACUUGAUGGAAGUCUCAUAGACUUUUUUAAUGAGUAUAGUGAUGAUCCAAAAGGAAAAGUUGUGUAUCUAAAUAGCAGCAAAGCUCCAUUCUGACUUUUAUUAAUCUAUGUAUAAAGAAUGUUGCUUGCUAGUUCAAAUCUAUCUAAUUUCAGUUGUUAUUUGUACUCCAUAUUUAACGUUGUUAUAUGGUCUUGUAUUCAAUGUUUUAAUAUUAUUCUUUGUGAAAUUCUUUCAGGAGAAUGAGGAACAGGAUGACCCAGACGAGAGGUGGGAUCCAGAUUCUGAUAUGGAGGUUGAUGAUGAACGGUACUUCAAUUUAUUCUCCUAAUUUGCUCUCAUUAUCUAGCACUUUUGUCUUUGCAAUUUACUGAUUUAUGGUUUAUACAGUAAGCCUUUACCAAGCAGAGUAAAGAAAGAGAUCGUUGAACCUGAAGUUAAGGAUCCGGUACGUCACAAAUCAUCUCUCGAGCUCAACUUUUUUUUGGGUGUGGAAUCAUUUAGACUAUUAUUCACUGUAUUUGGCUGCCAAUUCAUUUGUCUAUUCUUAAACACUACAACAACAACAAAGCCUUUUCCCACUAAGUGGGGUCGGCUAUAUUUAAACACUACAACAACAACAACAACAAAGCCUUUUCCCACUAAGUGGGGUCGGCUAUAUGAAUCCUAGAACGCCAUUGCGCUCGGUUUUGUGUCAUGUCCUCCGUUAGAUCCAAGUACUCAAGUCUUUUCUUAGGGUCUCUUCCAAAGUUUUCCUAGGUCUUCUUCUACCCCUUUGGCCCUGAACCUCUGUCCCGUAGUCAUAUUUUUGAACCGGAGCUUCAGUAGGCCUUCUUGCACAUGUCCACACCACCGGAACCGAUUUUCUCUCAUAUUUCCUUCAAUUUUGGCUACUCCUACUUUACCUCGGAUAUCCUCAUUCCCAAUCUUAUCCUUUCUCGUGUGCCCAUACAUCCCACGAAGCAUCCUCAUCUCCGCUACACCCAUAUUAUGUACGUGUUGAUGCUUCACCGCCCAACUUUCUGUGCCAUACAUCGCUGGCCUUAUUGCCAUCCUAUAAAAUUUUCCCUUGAGCUUCAGUGGCCUACGACGGUCACACAACACGCCGGAUGCACUCUUACACUUCAUCCAUCCAGCUUGUAUUCUAUGGUUGAGAUCUCCAUCUAAUUCUCCGUUCUCUUGCAAGAUAGAUCCUAGGUAGCGAAAACGGUCACUUUUUGUGAUAUUCGCUAGAUUGCUCCGGUCAUUAGUGUGAAUAAGUAUAUAAAUGGAUAGAGAUAGGAAAACAAACACAAGAUGUACAUGGUUCACCCAGAUUGACUACGUCCACGGAAUAGAGGAGUUCUCAUUAAUUGUGAAGGGUUUACAUAAGUAUAUAGGUUCAAGCUCUCCUUUAGUGAGUACAAGUGAAUGAUUUAGUACAAAUGACAUUAGGAAAUAUUGUGGGAGAAUGAUCUCGUAGCCACGAAACUUCUAAGUACCGGAGUGUGGUAUCGUCUUGACUUGCCUUAUCUGUCUCAUAGGUAGAUGUGGCAUCUUCUCUGGAAGUACUCUUCCUCCAUCCAGGGGUGGUAUCUGUAACUGGUGGAGAUGCACAAGGUAAUGUAUCAAUUUCACUUGAAGUUUACUUGUAGUUUCAUGCUUGGUCAAGCGCGAUACAAACCAUGUAGUAGGAGUCCCUCAAGUCGUUGAGCUAGGGGAUCUGCUGAAAGAGGUGACAGACAAGGUAAGCAAUCAGAGCUCCGGCUGAUUGUUCACAUUCUCCCUAUCUUGCAGGCAGCAUGAAGGAUAAAGAGAAGAAAAAUGAGAAGAGAUGAUAUGGGAUACUUUUGCUUUUGAAGAAGUAACUUUCCACAUGCUUAUUCUUGAACUGGGCUGGAGGGUUUUCUGGUUUCCUCCAGAGUAUAAGGCCGACUGAAGAAUUUGAGGGUCAAAACAAGUCCAUCAAAUCUAGAGUACGUUCGACCCUGCUGAUAUGGGAUACUUUUGCUUUUGACAGAGUAAUGGAUGUAUCGGCACGUGUGCUGUUACGCUUAUCUCCACAUGCUUCCUUGUAUCCUUCUCACUUGCCCUAUCUGUUCCUUAGGCAGAUGCGGUAUCUUCCCUGGAAGCAUAAGAUGUUGAAGAUGAGUACUCGAGAGCAAUGCCAGGUAAGUAAUCAGGUAAAGGUUCCAGGCAGUCAGUUCCUGGCUGGAAGCUUGAUUCCAAGUGCUGACUGAUUGCUCUCUUUCUCCUUGUCUUGCAGGUAAGAACAAGGCAAAAGGAAAAGACAGGGAAAAAACAUGAUAUGGGAUACUCUUGCUUUUAACCCUGAUGAUAUGAGAUAUUCUUGCUCUAGUAUAGCUUGUUUACAGAGGUAUUAUCGGGGGGAAAGAAAGCUGAAUAUUUCGAAAGGCUUCGUUGGGAGUGCCCUCUCAGAUAAGAGAAAGGGUUGAGCAUUUUUGCAGGUCUGCCUGUCCGUUAGGGAUGGAGGUCGACAUAUAUAGGAGUCUCCCUAACAUCAAGUAAUAAUGUUAUUCUUUUACCCUGCUUGGUCAUAGCACGGUAGUGGGAGCUGCCAGCUUCACAUGUUUUAACUCUGUCAGAGCAUUUUGAAAAAGUGGUCUGUGGUAUCUGGAAAGCUGAUGUUGCGUGUGAAGAUUACAGACAAUCUUUAUCCAAGGAGAUCCAGCUCUUGAAGUUGGGAAAGUGGUGCCUCUUCGGUUUUCGAACAAGCAAUCCUGUCGGGGAUCUGGCUCUCGAGAUUCGGAGAACGGCUAUAUUUAAACACUACUGCAUUAAAUUUCAUGUAUAGUAAAACUGUGCUCAUUGUCUGAUAAUGGACAAGUGGUUAUAUUGUUUGUUCAUGGCAAAAAAAAAAAAACAGAAACAUAUUGAUGAAAUGCUAAAAGAUGAAAGUUCCAGGAAAAACAAAAUCUCCUAUGUACACAAGUUAAAUAGUCCCUCUGGAGUUUUACUGUUCCAUUCGUUUAGAUGAUGCAAUGAACCAACUCAAUAUGCACCAUUCUUGACGGCUCCAACCUUAAACUUACUUAAACCUGAAUUUGACUAGAAUCUAUUCAAACCAUCCAAAUCAUAUAGAAAGAGGAAGCUUGUCUCUUCAUAGUGUUCCGUUGCUCCCCUCUAUUAUCCUGUCUCUUGUUUAUUGUUACGUGAAGCCUACAUUGGUGAUUAGUAAUGUUCCCUUUCUUUCUUACGAGAAUAUAAUGUUUCCAGCUAUGGUAUCUACUGCUGUUUAUGAUUAUAUGUUUAUAUCCUGCACGUAGCAUUACUUUCUUAUGAUGUGCUCAUUUCCUUUGCUGUGCCGCAUUUUAAAACUUACAUAAACAUGGAUGAUAACCUAUUUGUUAUGUUUACUUGCCUCAACAUUAUCUAAUUCUGGUUGUUGUGGCACACUGGAGAUCCAGAAAGGGACCUCGGAGAACGCUAGAAGCUCAGGCUAUGAUCCAGCGGUAGAUGAGAUAACAACAGGCGCAAAGGUGAAAUUAACACAUAAGUCCAUUAGAAUCAGGUUCCUCUUUCAUAAGAAAACCCUCCCACUAAUAGUUUUCUCUGUGACAUUGAUAUUUGCAGGCUUUGGAUAUGGGAUCUGGAUCAGUGGAUGAACCAACUGUGAAAGUUGAACAAGACACUAUGAAUAAGCCUGCGGACCAGAUAUAAACGUUAUCACGAUCAAAUUUAUUUAGGGUGACUUGAUCACAAGCAAAGUCAUUCAAACUUAACUGUCCAUCGAUUUGUGAAGUUGGUAAUUUAGUUGAGCAGUAGCAUUUCAUGUAUCUUAGCAUUUCUUGUAUUUGUAAGAAUUCAACGCUUGUUUAAACUAUCAUGGAUAAGUACCCAAAUUUGGCCUCUUGUACGUGUUUUUUUAUUCACUGUUUUGAACAAUUAAUAGUUAAAUAGGAAGGCAUGGAACUGUCAUUAUACUGUUGUAUACCAAAACCGAAUUCUUUGGUCGGAACCCUAAAACCGUGCUUAUUUCAGGAAUCGUAAGUUCAAUCGGUAGUCCAUUGGCCCCGAUUUUGGUGCUCCAAAAUCGAAUUUUCCUCUUUCAUUUGGGAAGAUGGGAUUAGAAAUUUAGGUGCUUAUUUCAGGAAUCGUAAGUUCAAUCGGUCGUAUGAUGUUCAUAGAGGAAGCAUUUAUUACUAGACUCAAACACGCGUUAUCCUGAAUGAUUGGGAGUAGGUGACCGAUGUUUUUGAAGAGUUUGGAUGUCAGAAAUUAGGAUUAUAAUCUGCUUAACUCAUUUAUUUACUCAAAAAGAAUUUUCAUUUUUCAUUAACAAACGAUAACCUAUACGGUACUGCGGUAAAACCAGUAACUAUAUUACAAGGCAAAAUGGUAAAAGGAAAACCCCAAUUUGACGGUUUCUCUUCUAAUAACUUUCUAUAUGUUCCUGUGUCCAUCAGUUGUAUUUAGAUUUGUAGUUGUUCAGGCAGAACCAACUCUGAGCCCUUUUCAGCAAUCGAGCAUCGACUGGAAGACUUGCUGAGUGUUCAGUAUCAGUCUCAGUAUCAGAACCAUCUAUACAGAGUGAACUUUCAAUUUCACACAGGUCACUUGCAUUAGAUAUCCUUUCAGCUGAACCACCACUUGAGGAUAUCCCAUUUGCAGUGGGGAAAGCACUUCAGGUUGUUGAAUGCUACUAGUGUUUCCCUGUUUGAGUUUCUUAGUCUUCCCGAUUACUUUUCUCCUCGUCUGUCCAGAUGUAAUCCACGAAGAUAACCCCACAGCUCCAAGUAGCAGCAGCACAAUACGAUAAUCUUGUGUCAAUUCAAAAAGCAACAGACUCCUGCAAGACUAGCACCCAUUCCAACCUGAAAAUGGAAUCUCUCCGAUUGUCAACUCCAUCCAGAUUUUGGGAUACCUUCAGAAUUUAGCAGACAAAUACCUAAAAAGGUCGUACCCAGUGCACAAGGCUCCCGCUUUACGCAGGGUCUGGGAGAGGUGAAUGUCGGCUAGCCUUACCCCCAUUUAUGGAGAGGCUGCUCCCAAAAGACCAUGGAGAAAUAAUAUAUUCACCGAGAAAAGUUUGGACUUUUCAAGUUUACCAUGGAGAAUGAUAUUAUGUACACUCCAUGUCAAUUGCCAAAAGACCAUUCGACACUUUAGAACUAAUACAAUUGCAGGAAACACAUUAUACUUCUAAAAAGAAAGGUAUCUGCCCCUGAAGGUAAUGGCCAUAGGUUUCUGGAUAAUAACAUUCAAAUGUGACUUUUGUUCUCAGAAAUUAUCAAAAAUAGGAAAAAAAAAACAUUAUUUCAAUUUUGAAGGUAAACUAUCGUCUAAAUAUGAAAAUGACAUAGAACAGUACCAGGCUGUAUGCUUGCGGUGAUGCUACUUCCAAUAUGGAAAAGAUGAAGUAUAGGAUUGGACUGACAACUGCAGAACUGAUGAAUUUUCCGUAUGUCAUUCCUGUUGCUGCACCAGUUAAAAGUGAUGGAGCAUAGUAGCCUCCAACUAAUCCAGAGGCUCGACACAAUGAGGAUGCACCUAUCUUGACCACUACCAACUGAAGAAACUGAUCAGCUGAGAGGCCUUUUUCAAGUGGUCGAGAUUCCAGCAAAAUGUCAACAUUCUCGAAACCCUGAUAAAGAAUUUCAGGAUAUGCCAACGCCAUCAACCCAAUAGCCAAGCCAUCCUAAUUGUGAAGAUUGUCAACAAAUACCAACAUGUAUGAUGUGCACUUUGAUAAGGUUAACGAAACCAAGCCACAUAGGACACCCAGCAAUAGAUAUAGCGGUCUGAAAAUGAUACGAAUACGUCUCAUUAUUAAAACCGCAGCUUUAAACAAUGACUUGAACAUCAACCUCUAGAUAUACUAAAGGUAUGCCUGAAAAAUUCAUACCAGUAGAGUGAAUAAACUAGUGUUGUAACACAAUCAUAUAUGCUCAACUACCCAAAUAAUGGGAAAAUUCAGAAACCAUAUUCAGUAAAGGCAAAUCACAUUACCAGGAGCAAGUAAAUACUCUGAGAUUACGUGCUGAUGCCAUAGUCAAUUGCAGAAAUUAUUUAAAUAAAAGAACCAUUUUUUGUUCACUCGGCACAUAAGUUUUUAUAUAUAUCAUUUUGAAGAAUCAACAAAUAAUUGAUAGUGUACCAGCAAGUGAGCGGAAAUCAUAGUAUGGGACCUUAAAGGCUGGUUCAGAACAAAGACCAGCUUCUGAAACUACAGAAGCUAUCACAGCACUAGGGCUGGUUUGGUAUUGCUGUGCUUUGAAAAAAAGCUGCUGUGAGAAUAAGCGGCUGUGAAAUAAAGCCAGUAGAGUGUUUGGUAAACUUUUUUGUGAAAGUGCUUUUGGAAAAAAAGGCAGGAUGAUAGUAUGUCUUUUCAUUAAAGGAGCACUGUAGCUCCGUGUGCUUUGAAAAAACUGGCUUUUUUUCAAAGCAGCAAAUAGCAGCUUCAGCUUUUCCUUUGAUUUUCAGCUUAUUCUCACAGCAGCUUCCAAAAUAAGCCUUUUUUUUUCAGUUUACCAAACACAAAAAUGACCCUCAGCUUUUUUUCACAGUGACUUUUUUUAAAAUCACCUCAAUCCCAAACGGGGCCUAAGUAUGACCAUAGAAGUAGCAUUCACAAGUGAAAUGGAUGAGGAAUUAGGUGGUGAUGGACUCUAUGGGAAAGAAACAACCGGAAACAGCAGCAUUAAACCCUGUCAAAACAGAACAACAAUUACAAUGAGGGCAUAUAUGUAUUGAUAAUGGCAGCAUAGAUAUACAGAAAACUGAAUACCAACCAAAAGCAAUUCCAGCAGCCACAUGAGAGAGCCUUCUUUGUGAACUUUUAUCAAACACAGCACCAAUACCCUUGGCUAUAGAAGUUCCAAUCUCAACGCUAGGACCUCAGGACCUAACGAGUUCCCAGUCCCAAGUGUGACACAAGCAGCAAUUGCCUUGACAAAAGGACACGAUGCUGCCUCGAGACCAUCAAAAAACCGAAAUAGGCAUUCCCAUUUUCACUAAUAAAUUCUCUCCUUUUUCUCCUCCUUGCUCAUUGCCAUUGUUAUCUUGUGAACCAUCCUCAAGAGCAUCUCGAAACAAGUUUAUUAUGGCAACAAUCAAACUGUUAAGGGUAAUAGAGGAUCAUCGUAUCACAGUGCACUCAAGGCACCAGAUUAGUGCUUACCAUAGUGGUUAAGUAAUUAGUAGAUAAAACUGUUAUGUAAGAUUGGUGACUAGGCAAUAGACAGUUAUUUAUAUGUCGAUAUCCUUUUGUACGGUGCAUUGUGAAAGUUAAUGAGAAUCAUUCUUCACAUAUUCAUUCUAUCUCUACAAAUUCUCUCUCUCUCUCUCUCUCUCUCUCUCUCUCUCUCUCUCUCUCUCUCUCUCAAUCUCUUGAUUACUGCAAGAUAUUAGACUUCUACACAAACCUCCAGAAGCUGGAACCAGAAUCACCUGCUUCUACGUAUCUCCCAUGUACUCCUUUCUCAGCCACGAAGCUCCCCGUUGCGGCAUCCCACCCCAGAACACAUCACGUAUCUCAUGAACCUUCCCAUUCGUGCCAAAAUCUCAGAAAAGCUCAAAACUUUAUGCAUAAGCAAGCAAGAAAAAAGCAAGGUUCUUUAACUUUCCGAUGUGGUACAGUUUUUCAUAACCUCACGCGCCCCUCACAUGCUGCAGGACUCAAGCCAAACGGAUGGACAACACACAUCCUAAUGCAUCAAAUGAACAUUUACAAUUUGUGUAAAAUUCCAGAUAAAAGCUCAAAACUUUGCAAACAAGCAAGCAAUAAAAGGAAAAAUGGACAAUUGAGUAAUGGAUAAAAAUCAAACAUACAGAGUAGUUGAAGAGGACGACGCCGAUUCCGGUGAGCAGACCCACCAAGCUCGACGACAGCACUAUCGUCCAGUUCCCUCGGCCACGGCCUUGUGCUCUGUUUUCAUCUUCCCCUUUUUCUGCUUUGUCAUCGUCAUCGUUUUGUUGUUUUUGUUGCUGGGUUUGUUGGUUUUGAGGGAGGGAGAAAGGAGGUCUGAGAGUCAGAUCUCUGCCAUCUUCAUCUUCCCCUUCUUCGUGUACCCAGCACUGGCAUUUUUGGUGUUAAUUGUUCUUGUUUGGGUGUUUGAUGUGGGAGAGAAUAGGAGGAGGGUUUUUCCCGGCGGUGAUGAAGACGGAGGAGGUGGGGAGGCCAGGGGACAUAAAUGGCAGUGGAAGUGGGCGUUGGGAAAGCGCCGUAAGCAGUCCAGGACUCGCAUUAGCUGCUACACCAGUUGAGCCAACUAAUGGAUAAAUGUCUGACAAAAUAAUUCAGUAAUAUUCAUAUUAAUAUAAAAGGGUAAAACAGUUUUCCCCUCAACUUUCACCUCACGUUCGAUUUCCCCUUAACUUUUCUAUUGGAAAAUUAAGGACUCAAACUAAUUUUUUUAGCCAAUUUGCCCCCUACCGUUAGUUUUCAUAUAUUUCAUCCAUAUUUCCGUUAAGUGAGACCAUGUGCACAACAUGUGAGGAUAGUUAAGUUAUUUCACUCUUAAAAAUAAUUAAAAACUGAAAAUAAAUAAUAAUAUGUUGUGGUCUAUUUUAUCUGACAGAUGGACUAGGGCCGGCGGCAGAGAGAGAGGAGAGAGAUGUGUGUUUGUAGAAUUGUAGGGGAAUGUGUGUGUUGUUAUCCCUCCUACAUUGUGCCUUUAUUUAUAGUAGUAAAGGGAGAGAAGAUAUUCCUUCUCCUCCAAGUAAUACAAGUUGUAAUAGGAAAGGAUAACUAGAAUCAAAUCUUAUCUAGGAUUUACACAAUCAUACUUAAACUAGGAAUGUUUACAACACUCCCCCUUGAGUGGGUAAAUACUCAAGGUAGAUUCAGCAUCAUGCAGAAGUUGAGGAAGUCGACUCGUCGGCAAUGAUUCCAAGGAACAACGCUUAUUCUCAAUAAGGUAGGAACUUGCAUAAGUAGUAAGUCUCACUAAAAAAACCCUAAGGCUAUGGCAAAAACUCAAGUAGGGACAAAAUCCAUAGUCUAAGGAAAAAUGCUUGAGAAAUGCAAAGUCAAAAGAAACGUCUACAGGACGUCAUCAGGGAUAUGACCAGCCCAAGGUGGGUGUCUCGUUAAAACCUAGUUAGGUAGUAAAAACCCAGUGGGAAAAAUGCUCCUAAUCGUAGGGAAAAAGAGUACAUUAAGAUCAAGCAAGUAUCUAGAAGAUACUCCCCCUGAGUUUGACAUAAUUCCACAGAGAAAUAGCAAAAUUACAACUCAGAAAGUUUACGCAUACCAAUUCCAUGAACAAGCUUCUGAAACGUCGCCUUCGGUAGUGAUUUGGUGAAGAGGUCGGCCAGAUUGUCUUGUGAUCGGAUUUGUGUGACUUCAAUCUUCUGAUGCUCUUGUUGUUGAUGUGUAAAGAAGAACUUCGGCGCAAUAUGCUUGGUGUUGUCUCCUUUGAUGUAACCCUUCUUGAGCUGUUCGAUGCAAGCUGCGUUGUCUUCAAAAAUCGUCGUCGGGGCAUUAACGGCGGGAUGAAGAUCACAGGAGCUUCGAAUAUGGCCCACUACUGCUCUCAACCAAAAGCAUUCCCGAGUUGCUUCAUGUAAGGCGAGAAUUUCAGCAUGGUUAGACGAAGUGGCAACUAAGGUCUGUUUAGUUGACCUCCAAGAUAUUGCGGUGCCUCCAACGGUAAAGACAUAACCCGUUUGAGAACGCGCCUUGUGCGGAUCAGAUAAGUAUCCAGCGUCGGCAUAACCAACAAGGCAAGAAUCAACCCGAUGAGCAUAGGGUGCGGCAUCACUCGAGGAUUCGUAGGGAUAGAAUAAGCCCAAAUCCGUAGUACCCUUAAGGUAACGGAAGAUGUCUUUCACGCCAGUCCAAUGUCUGCGUGUUGGUGCAUUGCUGUAUCUUGCCAAAAGAUUAACAGCGAAGGAGAUGUCGGGUCUAGUGCAUUGAGCUAAGUACAAUAAAGCGCCUAUCGCACUUAGAUAAGGAACUUCAGGCUCCAAAAUCUCUUCAUCAUCCUCCUUCGGACGGAAGGGAUCUCGCUUUGCAUCUAGCGUACGAACGACCAUAGGAGUACUCGAAGGCUUCGCUUUAUCCUCAUUAAAACGGCGCAACACUUUCUGGGUGUAGUUCGAUUGAUGUACUAGGAUUCCAUCCGAACAAUGCUCUAUCUCGAGGCCGAGACAGUAUCGAGUCUUAUCUAGAUCUUUCAUCUCAAAUUCCGACUUCAGGUGCGAAGCAGUUCUCGCGAGCUCUUCAGGAGUUCCGAUGAGAUUCAUGUCAUCGACAUAUACUGCAACAAUCGCAAAUCCGGAAUGUGACUUCUUAAUGAACACACAAAGGCAUAGUUCGUUAUUCACAUAUCCCUGACUAGUCAAAUACUCACUUAAACGGUUAUACCACAUUCUUCCGGAUUGUUUCAAACCGUAUAGUGAACGCCUCAGCCGAAUUGAGAGCGUGUUCCGGGGUUUGGAAAUAUUUGAACCAGUCAAUGUAAGUCCUUCGGGAACUUUCAUAUAAAUUUCCGUAUCAAGAUCCCCAUAUAGAUACGCGGUUACUACGUCCAUCAGCUGCAUAUCCAGUUUUUCAGAAACUACCAAACUGAUAAGGUAUCGAAAAGUAAUCACAUCCAUAACGGGUGAGUAAGUUUCGUCAUAGUCAAUCCCGGGGCGUUGUGAGAAACCUUGUGCUACAAGACGAGCUUUGUAACGCACAAUUUCGUUAUUCUCAUUACGCUUCCGAACGAAAACCCACUUGUAGCCAACGGGCUUCACAUGUGGAGGAGUAGGAACUACAGGUCCAAACACCUUACGUUUCGUAAGUGAAUCAAGUUCGACUUGGAUUGCUUGUUUCCAGUUUGACCAAUCAGCUCUACGUCGACAUUCAUCAACGGAACGCGGUUCAAUGUCAUCGCUCAACAUGAUCUCAGUAGCUACUGCAAAUGCUAAUGCAUCGUCGACAAUCAUCUCAUUUCUACGCCACACAUCAUCUAAGCUAGCAUAAUAGACCGAAAUCUCACGAUUCUCGGGAGGAGGAUUCGUCUCUUCAAGGACGCUUCCAUAAUCUAGAAUUUCCUCAUGAGUUGGGUAAAAUGAGUAAACGAUAGUCGGAUUCACGGUAGGCUCUUCAGGACCUUGUGCCGUGGUUUUCCUCUUCCGGGGGUGUGAAUCCUUUGAACCAAGGGGUCUGCCACGCUUUUGUGUAGGGGCAAAUGAUAGGCUAGCCGCUAAUGUACGUGGAUCACCAUCCCGGGCUUCCAGGAGGGUAGUCCGUCGUACAUUUGGUACAUCCAUCUUUGCAGGCGUAUUCGCAGCUGGAAUAUGUGAUCUUGUCACGCGCGCUAGAUCGGUGAAAGCAUCUGGCAUGCUCUGAGCUAUGCUCUGGAGAUCUAAUAUGCGCUGCACUUCAGCUUCAGACUGAGCGGUGCGGGGAUCUAAAUGAGACAAAGUGGGAGUCGUCCACGAUAAUUCGCGUCGUUCAUUAGGAACGUUGACGUUCUUAUCUCCCCCUAACGACAGGAAGACUGUCUCAUAGAAGUGACAAUCCACGAAACGAGCGGUAAACAGAUCGCCUGUCAAAGGUUCUAAGUAACGAAUAAUCGAAGGAGAAUCAUAUCCGACAUAGAUUCCCAUCCUUCGCUGAGGCCCCAUUUUUGUACGUAAGGGCGGCGAGAUCGGCACAUAGACCGCACAACCAAAAACGCGCAGAUGCGAUAUGUCGGGUUCGCAUCCGAUGACCAACUGAAGGGCACUAAAUGGUUGUGUCGCAACAGGCCUCAGGCGGACCAACUUUGCUGCGUGCAAUAUUGCAUGGCCCCAAAGCAGCGAUCGGGAGCUUGGUACGUAUGACCAACGAUCGAGCAAUCAUUUGUAAACGCUUAAUGAAAGCCUCUGCCAGGCCGUUCUGGGUGUGAACAUGGGGUACAUGAUGUUCAACUUCAACCCCAACCGACAUGCAAUAGUCAUCAAAAGUUUUAGAUGUGAAUUCUCCAGCAUUAUCCAAUCGAAUAGAUUUUGAUCGGAUAAUCAGGGUGGUGAGCCCUGAGCUUGAUAACCUGAGCCAACAGUUUGGAGAAUGCAGCGUUCCUUGUGGACAACAAGCACACGUGUGACCAACGUGUAGAAGCGUCAACCAAAACCAUAAAAUAUCUAAAUGGUCCACAGGGAGGUUGAAUCGGUCCACAAAUGUCCCCCUGAAUCCGUUGUAGAAAAAUGGGAGGAUUCGAACGAAUCUUGUCAUAAGAAGGCUUAGUAAUAAGCUUUCCCAUAGAACAUGUUUGACAUGCAAUUUCAUGGAUCGAACCUAAGCUUCGGGUUAGUGGAUGCCCGUGUGAAGUUUUGAGGAUACGGCGCAUCGCUAUUCGUCCAGGAUGUCCCAAACGAUCAUGCCAAAGUGUAAUUUCUUGCGCGGUCCAUGUGGUAGGGCUGGCCACAUAGUGGCAUUCGAUGGGGCGUAUGGUCGUAGUAUACAGACCACUCGGGUUACGCUCCAUGUUCUCUAGAAUACGCUUCUGGCCAUAUUCGUAGGAAGUUACGCACAGAAAUUCAACUCCGUUUUCUACGUGGGUUUCAGCGUGGUAAUUGUUAUCUCUAAUGUCCUUGAAACUUAGUAACGUUCUUCCGGAACGUGGAGAAUAGAGUGCCUCAGCAAUGGUCAAGAUUGUACCAUUGGACAACAUUAUACGUGCCUUACCGUAUCUUUCGAUCAGGUUGGAUGGGCCUGAGAGGGUUGUCAGAGGUGCAUUUUUAGGUACGAAGUUAGUGAAAUAGAUGCGUUCACGCAAAACAGUAUGCGUGGUUGCACUAUCUGCCAGACAACUAACUUUCCCACUAGUCAUACCUAGAAUGAAAAAUUAAUUUGAAUCGGUCACAUGCAUAAAAGUUUAUAAAAACAAGUAUCAAUUCAAAAUAAUUUCAUUUAUUCAAGGAAAAAACUUAAUAUCCAAAAUAAAUCGCCAACUAAUAAUCCAAAACAUAAAGGAAAAUUGUUCAAAAUCAACCAAAAAACAAGGUGAGGUUCGGCCACAAGGUGGAAUUCGGCCCCAAUUGUCUUAUUUUAACUGAAAAAUAAGUCUAUGUCUAAGAUUCUAAUCUUCCAUAGGAGUGGUAUCCUCCUGAAAAUCAGAAACCUCCAUCUUUGUAGUCUCCGGUUCGUCCACUUGCAGGAAGUUUGAUUCAAACUUCGUACGACGAGAAUGAUAUGCAUCCACAACCUUCUUGGGAGCACGGCAAAUACGGGACCAAUGGUCCUUGGAACCACAACGAUAACACAUAUCGUCAUUCAUUGUGGCAGGUGCUUUGCCCUUAUUCUUGAAGUUCGGGGCCUUGGGAGCGAGGUUUGGGCGCUUAUGGGCUUUGUUUCCUCCCUUGGAUGGGCCUUGGCUCUGUUGACCUUGGUGGGAUGGCUUCUGGCCGCCCUUACCACGCCUCUUUUGGCGUUUUAGGUGCUGAUUAGUGCUAUAAUGUGCUUCAGGCACAGCAGUAGCCCCAGUAGGUCGAGCUUGAUGAUUCUUCAUCAACAGCUGGUUCUGCUUUUCAGCAAGAAGUAAAACAGAGAUCAAAUCCGAGAACUUAGUGAACUUCUGAGCUCUAUAUUGUUGCUGCAGGACAAUAUUAGAAGCAGAGAAGGUCGAGUAGGUAUUCUCCAUGAGAUCCUCUUCAGUCAAAGUUUCAUUGCAAAACUUAAGAAGUGAUCAGAUUCGACAAACUUCAUAAUUAUAUUCAUUCACAGACUUAAAGUCUUGGAAGCGCAAGUGCUGCCAGUCGUGUCUUGCUUCAGGCAAGAAUAUGUCCUUUUGGUGAUCGAAACGAUCAGCCAAAGCGACCCAUAAUGCACGUGGAUCCUCCUCAGCAAGGUACUCAGUUUGUAGAGCGUCAUGGAUAUGUCUUCGGAUGAAGAUCAUAGCAGUGGCUUUUUCAGCCUCGCCAACAGGUUUAUCUGUUGCUUCUUCAAUAGCAGGACGCAAGUUCUUUGCAGUGAGGUGGAGCUUCACAUCUUGAACCCACUUGAGGUAGUUCCUUCCAGAAACCUCCAAAGCGGUGAAGUCGAGUUUGUUCAAGUUCGACAUGUUCCUAUCACAAAAUAGAUGGACAAGAUGUGGUUAGUGUAAUGGAGAAAAAUCAAUCCAUUCACAUAGGAGUAGAACAUACAGGUUCUAAUAGACAUGUAUUGGUUUAAUUUUGCAUGAAAAACUUCGGGUUUUCAUGGGUGAUAUGUUUAAGUGAAAACUUCGGGUUUUCUAACAAGGCAUGUGUAUAAGAAACUUCGGGUUUCAAAGUAAUUAUGAACUUCAGGUUCAUAUAUUCCUGCAGGCAAACACAAAUAUACAUGCAAACAAAUAUGCAAAGAAUAUAUGCAGAAAUAUUGUAUAAUUAUAAGUGAAGUAAUUUAUUUUUGGUCUUCGGGGCCAAAUUAAAGUGUGGGUGAAAAUAUAAAAACCCAUAUUAUUUAAAAAAAAAAUUAAAUAAUAAAAUCUCGGGGCCUAAAAAUAUAGGCCGAGUACCCCCGGGUGUAGGCUGCAGGCCCACGGGGUGAGAAAGGAAUGGGCUGCCGUGUGCAGCCCUAAAACAAUUUCUCCUUUUUUCGGUAUGGGCUACUGCAGGCGAGCCCAGGAAAAUAAAAAAAUAAAUUGUUUUCUUUGUGGGCUGGGCCGCUGCAAGCGAGCCCAGCAAAAAAAAUUGUUUUUUUUUCUUUUGUUACACGGGCCGAUAGGCUGGAGCCCAAUAGGGCUCGGGUUGGAACCAGGAACACCCCAGCUUUUGCUGGGAACGGUUGCCGGAGCGUCGCCACUGCAGGUGGCCGUGUUCUGGGAGGCUAUCGAUCGUGGGAAACACGGGGGUCCAACUGGGGAACCAAAUAUGAACGGAGAUUGGAGAAAUCUCGACGUUAUAUCAACCAAACCCUAGAAAAUUUCAAUCGGAUUUAUGAAAAAUUCCGAUGAGAUCUCAGAAAAUCUCAGACCAUAGGACACCGUGGACGAUCUGCAGGUCGUCUGAGUAGGCUAGGCACGGCGACAGGCCGUGUAGCACGGUGAUGGAUGGGUGGCGACACCGGCUGGGUGUCGGGUUUGGGGUUUGGACGAGGAGCAGAAGCUCCAGCCGUGAUCUUGGGCUCGGAGGAUCGAUGCAGGCUGCAGGCCUGGUGAGGAAACCGAGCUGGGCCAUCGCAGGCUGCGGGCCUGGUGGCUUGCGGCCUUGCAUGGUGCACAGGCACGGGUUCGACUAGAACCCUAAUUUCCCCAAUCGCAAAAAUUUUCAAUUCAAAUAUAUUACAUGUAUAAUUUUAAUGAAUCACAUAUUUACGUUGAUGCAUAUGCAAAUAAUAGUUUCAAUGCAUGUACAUAUGUAGGAUUCAAUUCAUGACAAAUAUCAAAUUCACAUAAUUGUAGCAAUUUUGAUUAUGAAGCAUACACAAUUUACGUAGAAUCUAAAAUACGUAAAACGUAAAGUUGGGUCAUGCAUCAUGGUGAAUGUUCAUGCUAUCAGGGCUUGCAAAAUAUCGAGUUAAAAGCCGUUGUUUGGAAAGAACCUGAUUGCGUGAUGAUAUGGAUGAACUGGUUUGAUGCAGAAAAAAAAAUCUCCAACGUCAGAUUCCUAAGCGCAGCGGUAGGAGCGUGCUGAUAACGUGUUGUGGUCUAUUUUAUCUGACAGAAGGACUAGGGCUGGCGGCAGAGAGAGAGGAGAGAGAUGUGUGUUUGUAAAAUUGUAGGGGAAUGUGUGUGUUGUUAUCCCUCCUACAUUGUGCCUUUAUUUAUAGUAGUAAAGGGAGAGAAGAUAUUCCUUCUCCUCCAAGUAAUACAAGUUGUAAUAGGAAAUGAUAACUAGAAUCAAAUCUUAUCUAGGAUUUACACAAUCAUACUUAAACUAGGAAUGUUUACAACAUAAUAAAAAAUUUCUCUCUAGCAUGUACUACCAUUUUUAUUUUCUCUAACAAAUUAAUAAUUUGACAAAUGCUCAUGGUGUUAUUAUCUCCAAAGCAGUACAUUAAUAUAAGAAACAUGUCCAUAAAAAAGACUAGGGUUUCUUAUAUUAAUGCACUGCUUUGGAGACAAUAGCACCAUUAGCAUUUGUCAAAUUAUUAAUUUGUUAGAGAAAAUAAAAAUGGUAGACAAUAACACCAUAUGUCAUUUCUCAUGCAUAGGAAUGAGAGGGAAAAAUAAAAUCGAGGAUAGGAAUUAGCGGGAAAAAAUAGAGGGAAAGUUUUGUUUUUUUUUAUUUUCAGUUUUUUAAUCAUUUUUAAGAGUGAAAUGACUUAACUACCCUCACAUGUUGUGCAUAUGGUCUCACUUAACGGAAAUAUGGAUGGAAUAUAUGAAAAACUAACGGUAGGGGGCAAAUUGGCUAAAAAAAUUAGUUUGAGUCCUUAAUUUUCCAAUAGAAAAGUUCAGGGGGAAAAUCGAAAGUCAGGUGAAAGUUCAAGGGGUAAACUAACAGUUUACUCUAAUAUAAAAUAAUAUACGCUAUGUUCCUUUUCUUUUCAUAUUAACCAAAUCAAGAGUUAUCUUUUAAUAGUAAGUUAUUAAAUAUAGUCCAUGAUUGGAAAACUGCACUUGAUGUAUCAGAUCGUGUUUUCGGUAUACUGAAACAUAAAUUGACAUGUACUUGAUAAAAUUCGAGAAAUUUGUCUCAGUGAUUGAGACAUUUUUGCUACAAUAGCUCCCACAACGGAGUUGCCCACUUCAAUCUAGAGUGGCCGACGACAUACGCCAAACUAACAUAUACACUUACAAAAAAAAAAAUAGAAACUAGACAAGGUUGUAGCUCCAAUUAAGAAUGCAUUACAUUAUGCGUCAAUGUUUACUAAUUACAUCAAUUAUUAGGCCGGUUCUUUGAUUUUGAUAUGAAACAUAGUGCUACUUCAAAGAUCCCCAAUGUUUUAUUUAAUAGACCUUUCCAUGCACAUCAUGUAAUGCAAGAAGUUUCAGGGACUAAUUAAAUAGCGAAAAUGAGGUGAUCACAAAAGGGAUCAAUCAAAAUGCCUUAAUUGUACCAACUAAUGAAGUUAUUUGAAGGGUUUAUAAUCAUAUUUAGAAUGCUAAUCAUUGAUCGUCUCCUUAAAAAAAAAGAGGACGUGAAACCAACGAAAUGUGAACACAACACCGUCGUGGACAUGAGCUGUUUGUUGGCCAUGAUAAGAGUAGUUAAUCUAUAUGGAUGUGUAUAGAUUAUCAAUUAAGUUUAUUCUUUAGACGGAGAUCGAUAUCUAAAUGUACAUGUACGAUUUACAAUCUCACAAUUUAACAUGUCAAAUAUCCGACAAACAAAUAACUCUGAUUUCUAAAUUGUAGCUUCCUUCUCAAUCUCUCAUUAAUUUGCACCUUUCUAUAUGUGCACCUUCUCAAUCUCGCAUUAAGUUGACAAAUCGAAAACAUAAAUAGAUAAACUUGCAAACCAACUCUGAUUUCUAAAUUGUAUUUGUUGUAGUAGUACCUAAUGGGCCGGGCUCAUGAGGACCAGUGGCAAUUUUGAAAUAUCACAACAAAUACAGUACCAUUUUUGUCACAAAAAUCGAAACGAAAAAUGGAUUAACGACAAUCGUUUUUCUAACUCAAACCAUCGGCAUCUCUCAUUGUCUCUGUCGUCUUCUGAUUUUCCUCCGAAUCGGAGAAGAAAGGCAACCAAAUCCUGGUCCUCCGAAAUAUUGGUCCUUCGAUUUCGUGGUUUUCUGAUUCUUCCCGGUGCUCCUUAUUGUUACGAACCUAAUUUGUAAUUGAGGUUUAUGCUUUAAGAGUCAAAUUAGUUGUAAUCGAGAGGUUUUAAAUUUGAUAGAAAUGCCAGGUGGCGGAAGAGCACCUGCUCUUUGGUUUGAAAGGAGAACAGAAUUUUACAAAACAAAUCAAUACAAAAAUAUUGGAGCUCUGCUCCUUCUAUCUUCCUCCUUCCUUCACUUCUAUGUGCAAUAGUAAAGGUUUGAGUUAGGGUUUGAGAUUUGGGUUCUAACAUAUGCGUGAGUUAGGGUUUGAGAUUUGGGUUCUAACAUAUGCGUACUGCAGCCUGAGCGCGAGGCGCUCUCGAUUGAUUCCAUGGUCUGAUCUUCCGCGAAUCGCAAUCGGACGGUGGCGAUGGCGUCGACGCAGAACCAAUCGGCGCAUGUGGAUCUCUUCGAUGCGUAUUUCCGACGGGCCGAUUUGGACCGCGAUGGCCGGAUUAGUGGCAAUGAAGCCGUCGCUUUCUUCCAGGGCUCUGGUCACCCAAACAGGUCCUUUGCGCAGGUUCUCUCUCUCUCUCUCUAUAUAUAUAUAUGUAUGUAUAUGCUUGAGUAUAUAUGUAUAAUUGGAUGUGUGUGUAUGAUUAUAUUUGUGUUUCGAAUCAGAUUGAUUUUGAAUUUGUAGUCUAAUUGUAGUAAUGUGAACUUGGGAUGUCUUAAUUCUCUGAUCUAAGCUGAGAUUUUUAUUUAGUAGAAAAUAAGUAGAUGAAGAAUUUAUCUAGUGUUAGUAUAAAUGCGGAACUGAUGUAUCCGUUCGACCAGAGGUGGUAAGCAGACUUUAGAAAUGUGUUAUAUGUCCCAAGGAUUGAUCGAGGACUGUUUAUUACAUUAGAAUUGUGCAGUAGUGAAAACCUGCAGAAUAAGAUGACUAUGGAGUAGUUAGGAUUGGCGCAUACAGGGGAAAUGUUCUUGGGUCAGGAUCAUAUCGAUAAAUAGGUUCUUGAAGCUGUAUACUUGUUUUGCUGAAGGAAUUUUCGUAUAAAAUGAUAACCAGGGGCGUAUUAUGUUAAAUAUUGAUUAUAUGAAUCAAGCAUAUUUUUCUGCAAGAUGCUUUGCUGCUGGAUGCUCAUUCAUUGCAUGAUGUGUUCGUAUUUUGAUGUAAAAACUUACAUAUGCCAUAGAUAUUUUGUAGAUAUAAAUUUUAAUUUGUGAUUGGGAGUAAUCUUUUUCUGGCCAAUUGACAUACGAACAUCCAUAAAUAUAUACUAUUAAAUUGAGUCAUGUCUAAAUGUGCAGUCUAGAUUGAUAGAAUGACUACCCAUCAUGCCACAUUAUCUUUGAUGGAGCGGUUUAGGGAGGGACGCCCUCUUCCAGCAGUGCUACCAAGCAAUGUUAUGCUUGAUUUAAAAAAUAUUUUUUAUUUAUUUAUUUUUUUUUUGAAUCUAGUGUCUCCGGGUUUUUGACCCGACUACUCACUAGGCCACCCGCCUGACCCCACAACAUUUGGUAAGCAAGAAACUCUAGCAAUUGCUAGGUGGGUACCUUGAGAGGUGUCGAACCCCAGACCACUUGGUAACAAACCAAGGACCUGACCAUUAGACUAAACACUCUUAGGUAUUUAUCCAAUAUUUUUCAACCUGCAAAUAAUUACUCCAAUGCUGGCAAUGUAGCCUGGAGACCUGCUUCUGGUAUUCAUCCAUAAACAAAUCACUUAUUUUUUGAAACAUGUCUUCCUUUGAUGUAGAAUAGUUUCUUAUUUUUCACUUUAAAAGGCUUUCAACAACAGCAACUGAUGCCUGGUCCUGGUGCUCGGCACAUGGCACCCCCAGCUGGAGGGAGGCCACCGAAGACAGUUGCUCCUUCUCAUGCUGAGGAAAAGCAGCAGGCCAAUUAGUGGAAACCCAGAGUACCAGAAUUGGAGAAACAUCUUUUAAAGCAACUGAGUACAGAGGAGGUUAACUCACUGAACUUAAAGUUCAAAGAAGCAACCGAAGCUGAUAAAAAAGGUACUUAGAACUUUAAUGUUUCCCCAAUUUUCUCAUCUUGAGCAGCAAAGUUAUGUGUGCAUGUUACUUCCUGAUAAGUGUCGAAUCAUAACAAAUAUCCCAGAGACUUGAAGAAAGAAAUUUGGAUGCUAGAGAGAAAAUUGAAUAUUUCCGGGUCAAAAUGCAGUUCAGCCAUCGAAUUUGUAAUGUAUCUUUUGUAUUUCAUUUCUUUGUGUAUGCAUCUCGCUUUUUCUUCAUUAUUUUCUUCCUUUAGCUUGUAGCGCGAUGUAUAAUUUUCUCCCUUAAUUUUGGAAUGUUCCUAGUCCUAUUGAAGCAAAGAGCCCUAUAGUUUUAUCGUUGUUACAAAUUCGGUGAUUGUAUUAUUAAACUGGGUCUGUGCCUUUCUUUUUUCAGCCUUAAUUUGCUGUAAUUUUUCUACCCUCUCUAACAAAAUUUGUUUCCCUGAUCUUUGUUUGGUGCAAACAAGAACACUGAGUUUUUCCGGUGUUAGUCCAAUCGGGACAUUCAUAUUUUUGGCUCAUUGCAGUUCAGCCAUUGAACAAUCGCAUAUUUUUGUCGUGUUGAAUGUUCAAACCAUCGCGCUUGGUUGUGAGAUUUUUACUUUGCCCUGGCAUGGUGUGUUAAUUAAUGUCUAUGUUUACGAUAUAAAGGUAAAUCAAGUUUUAAAGAUAAACAAAUAGGCUAUUAUACACUUCCAUAACUAGCGCUUUAUAAUGUAUAAAGCAUAAACAAUACCAAAAUAAUAAGUCCUUGCCUAGUUGUUGUCUUAUUUCUUGGUCAGACAAGUGAGCUAUCAAAGUACAAAUUUGGCUUAAAAAGUUUUUCCUAAUCACUUUCAUUUGCUUCAGACUCAUCACUUGAUCCACCACCUUUGGAAUCAUCAUCUUGUCUUGUUUCUUCGGCAAACAAUUUGAAUUUCUCAGCAUCUUCGGCAUACAAUGGGCAUAUACCACAGCUUUCCACCUUCAUAUCGUAAUGCGGGAGAGGAGGUCGUCCUUCAACAUCCACCAGGCAGAAGACAACAGAGGCCUCUUUGGCAAGUUUGUAAACAUCAGGGGAGCAGUUUUUUCCUACCUCUUCACUUCUAAAGGCCUCAUUCCACACACGCACGUGAUGUAGGCGGCCAUAGGAGCGUAGGAUAAUGUACUUAGAACUGAACAGUUCAUGGCUUUCACCCAUGAAUUUGACAAUGAAAUUAGCACUUACACUGCAGUCUUCACAGUCCCACUCGUUGUUAAUAACAACAGAGAGAGCGAAACCAAAUAAACCUGUUCGAAACCAAUCUGGACAAAGCACGAUGUCUACUGAAGAUCCCUCAUUUUGAUAGCUGAACCAAUUUGGAAUUUCUUUUCCUGGACAUACAAUCUUAAUCUGAGGCCACGGAUCCUUCCUUGCCAUUCGCAUAAUUGUAAUCUGUGCAUCAUCCAUUAUGUUGCUCCUUGAAUUAUUAUCCAAUUUUGGGCAAUUAGUAAAAUCUCUGAUACAAUAAUGAGGUUUAUCCCAACCUUGUGUGAGUGCUGUCCUUGAACUUGACACAAUCUUCAGCGACAUGCAGCCUUCAGCUCUAACAUUACAUAGCACUGGGAGCUCUGGUAUAGAUUGAAGCCGCUCGCAGUAGUUUAAGUCGAGUAUAGACAACCGAGAAGCUUGUUUGAUGCUUGCUGGUAUUUCCAAUAUACCACUGCAGCUGAGUACUAGUUCUUCUAAAGAGAGAAAACCAACAGAGCUGGAAGGCAAUUUUUCAAGUCUCCAACAGCCACAAAAGUCGAGACGUUUAAGAUUGGUUAAACUGUAGAUACUUGUUGGGACAUCCUUAAGUCGCUUGCAGCAGCUAAGUUUUAAAUCUUGAAGCCUAAUUAGAUUUCCAAUAGACGAUGGAAGCAUUUCGACAGCUGUAUCUUCCAAACUAAGAGACACCAAAUGUUCCAUUGGCUUCAAGAUUUCGGGGAAUUUGGAAAAUUUAUGGCACUGGAGAUCAAGACUCUCAAGAUAUUUCAACUUACAGAUUGAUGAGGGUAGCUCUGUAACUGCUAUUCCAUUUAAAUGUAAGGACUUCAACUGUUCCAUUGGCUCCCAAAUCUUUGGGAGGUUUUCAACUUUAUACGAGAAACCAAGAUAGAGUUUCUUGAGAUUUUUCAACUUACACCUGCUGCUUGGAAGUUUCUUAAGGUGGCAGUAAUCUAAAUUCAAGUAAGAAAUAUUUUCGUUAGACCAAACUGAGUCAGGCAACUCCUCUAUACCAUUCCCUUCUAAAUUUAAGUAUUGAAUAUUUCCUGGCAUCUCUGGAAGAUACUUGAGCCUGCAGCCUCCAAGAUGAAGAUGAGUAAGCUUGUCAAGAUGUUGAAAAUACGAAGGAAUUUCAACCAAACUUCUACACCAACUGAGAUUUAUCUUCACAAUUUUUAGACUCCCAGAGAGAUUUGGAACUUCAAUUAGAUUACUAGAGGAAGACAGAUCGAUAACUUGUAAGUUGACAAGUAUCUGCAACAAAUUAAAUAGAAAUAUAAAGAAUUAAUAUAAUUUCUACACUUGAUAUUAUACAAGAAUUAAAGUAGGCAUAUAACAUAAUAUACCUGUUCUUCUUUCCAAAGCUUCUUAACUUUGCUAUGUGGCAUAUGAAGCUCAACUAGAUUUUCCGGAGUAAAAUUUGAUGGCAAAGAUUCUAGUGGAUAUCCUUUCCAUUUAAGAUAACGAAGAGAAUUGGGAAGGUCUAGAGAAUUGGAAAGGUCUAGAUAACCGGUGAAUAAGAAGCCACCACCCAAAAUUAGCAUUAUUAGGUUAGACAUCUUUUUGAAGCCAACAUGUUUCAAUGAUCGCCCUUGAAGAUUAAAUGACUCUAAGGCUUCAACAUUUGGAGUUUCCUGAGAAUAAAAAGAAAGUUUAAAUGUUAAUAUAUAUGUUUUCAACAUGUUAAAAUGUAACGCACAUUUGGAAUAAAGAGUAUUUGCGAUGGUAAUCAUGUACAAGUGUCUUAGUCUAGUCAAAUAUCCAACAUAAUUGUAUCCUCCUCUACUUGUCUAAAUAAACAAAUGUUUGUUCAUAUUCCAAACACUUCCUAACACAAUAAAUAUUCAAUCAAAUUCAUCUUUUAACAAUCUCACUUCUUUAUUAUAAAUUAGUUUUACUUUGUUGUGUUAUCAUCUCAAGUUUGUAAUUUUUAUUUUCUAAAAAAAAGAAAGGAAAAAAAUUGAAUGCAUUUGGCUCUUACCUUGUUACUCCUCAAUACACGAUAGACAUCCUCAUCAUUGAACAACCUACUCCGUUUACCAGGAUCUUUAAUACCUUGUUCUUGAACAAUUUUCCUUCCCAUUUCUUGUAGCAAAUCGUGCAUCUCUAUGGUUUCCAUUCCCCGUUUUGAAUCAAUUGAUAUGAGAGACAUCUCAAUGAGAAUUCUAAUUCCAGAUGUCGCAAAGAAUCCACGAACAUCUAACAUUCGUUUUACCUCAACCGGAGACUUCCCUUUAUGAAAACAUGCUAUAUCCAGAAAUAUCUCCUUCUCAUUGUCUCCCAAUUUAUCAUAACUUAUUCUCAACACUUUCUGGACAUCUUCACUGGGAAAUCGUUUCAAUUUGUUGAAUUCAUCUUCCCAUUCUUCUUUGCUCUUGCAAUUGAAGAACAAGGACCCCAGAACUGUAAGAGCUAAAGGAAAGCCUCUGGCAUAAUGCACGACCUUUUCUGCCAACUCCUUAUAAUCUGUCCUACGAGUACUGUUAUCCUUGAAAGCACGCGAAUAGAAGAGCUGAAGAGCGUCAUCCUGUUUUAAUUCCUCAACCUUGUAGAUAUUAUCCUCUUCAACAGUUUUCCCAAAUAUGCCCCUAUCUCUAGUUGUGAUAAUGAUUCUACUUCCAGUGCCAUACUGAAGACGAUCGCCAGCUAAACGUUCCAUUUGCAUUGAACUACUCACAUCAUCAAGAACAAUGAGAACCUUUGUGCGGCUGAGCCUUUUUCGAACACCAGGUGCUCCUAUGGAUAGACCUUCUUCCUUUAAUAUCUCCUUAAGAAGUGUUUUUUCCAAGUGAUCUAGUCCAUCUGCUUUUUCUGAGUUCUCCCUAACAUUCUUAACAAAACAAGAAGCUUCAAAUUUAGAAGAGAGUUUGUGAAAUAUAGUUUCAGCAAGGGUGGUCUUGCCAAUACCACCCAUGCCCCAAAUACCGACAGUGAUGCAAGCAUCCGAUGAAUGAAUGCCUAAUAGCGAUUCGACCUGCUCGAUGCGGCUUUCAAUUCCAAACAAGCCCUUUAAAUUGCAGGAUGAUGCGCGACACAAUUUGGUCCAAAUAUCUUCAACAACUUUCUUAACUAAAUCAGCAUCCGUCCUGGCAUAUAUAUGUAGGAAAGUAAUAGUUAGUCUUAAAUAUUUAUACCUUACAAAAUCUUAGCACAAUAAAAUCAUCACAAGUUUAAAGAAAAUUUAUAAUUUUAUACAAGUUAAAAGAAUUGGUUAGUUACCCAUAAUGUUUUGAAACAAUACAUUCUUCAAAGCAUCCCUCCACUUGUGCACCUUGUCGAUGCUGUUCUGGAAACGUUGUUCAAGUUGAGCAAAUGCAACCUUAUAACUCCUCCGUUGUUUUCGUACAUGCGAUGGAAGGGUCUCGUAAAAAAUGGGUAUAACCAACUGGCCAUGUUUUCGCUCGCAUUCUAGGAUAUGCACAAGCUCAUCCAAACACCACGUGGAAGAAGCGUAGUCUUUCGAUAAAAUGAUCACCGAAAUCUCUGAUUCCUUGAUUGCUUUGAGAAGGGCAGGCUCGAUUUUAUCUCCUCUCUUAAGCUCGUUAUCAAUAAAGGUCGUGAUUUUUUUCUCACGUAAGGCAGCGUGGAGGUGGCUGGUGAAAGUACGGCGGGUGUCCUCACCUCUGAAACUAAUAAACACAUCGUACUUGUUUGUAUCAUCAGCAUCAGCAGGAGCAGCAGUGGAUGAAGAAGAAGAAGCGAUAUCCACAACAUCUAGUUUUCAGAUCCAGCAAGAAGAUGGAGUUGCAGAGAGAUUAAUUGUUAAUUAAAGAGAGAUAAUUUUAUGACGUUGCAGGAAUAAAGGAGAAUUUACUUAGAAUUGGCUUUUGAGUAGAUGCACAAAGUUUCAAUGGGUGAGAGAUGAACGAAAGUAGAAAAUGGGGCAUAGGCACAUAUUUUCUUUAAAAAAUAUACUUCAAAGAAAGAUAUUCAUAUAUUUGCAAUCUUAAUAUGAACAGCGUCAUCUCAGCAUGUAAAACUACUAGUAUUUGAAAACCAUAAAAUGAUAUAAAUGCAAACCUUUUCUCCUUGCUUUGCUCCCCUCACAAUCGGUAUCAUCAUCGUCUCCAGAUCGAUUCCUGUAAGUGAUGUUUUGGUUAUGUUUCGUACAGUUAAUCAGAUUACCAAAAAAGGACGCAAAAAAUAAACUUGAGACCUCUUUCUUUUGUUCUCUUCCUUCUUUUCUAUUUCCAUUUGCUCUUUCUCCUUCAAUCUUUCGUAAUUAAGUUUUUCAGAACAUCUGUAAAGAGAACCGUUGAAUCCAAACGUCAAAAGGAAGACAAUUGAUAAAGAUGCAAACAAAACAAAGCGACAUCCAGUCACUAGCCAAGAAAUUAACAGCAUACAUAACAAAAAUUAAUUAGCAAUUUAAAUGCCAUCACAACAUAACACCAAAACUUAUUAAUUAAAAAUAAAUGACAAAAAAAAUACAGUAAGAGCCUUAAACAGUAUCAAUAAACACCAACUAACCUCUGACAAGUUACCAAUUUGACAAGGGCUUGUUUAUUUUCUCCACCUUCAAAAUAAUAUCCAAAACAUUUACUUUUUUGUAUCAGCAGCGGAUGAAGAAGAAGAAGAAGAAGAAGCAAUAUCCAUAACCUCUAGUUUUCAGAUCCAGGAAGUAGUUGUUGCAGAGAGAUUAAUUGUGAAUAUAUGUUAUAAUUGUGAUUAUCUUAAUCAUAGUUUAGCAAUUAAAUAAGAAGUUGUUUUAUAAUUAGUCAUGCCAGCUGGCUUUGAGAGUUUUGGGGAACCAUAUAUGUAGCCACUUGUGAAAGGAAAGGGCAGAACGAAUAUUCAAAAAGAAAUAUAUAUAAAAAAAAAAUACUCUUCUCUCUUUCUAGCUCUUCUCUGUAUUCCUCCAUCCUCCAUUGUUAUAUACUUGCAGGUCUGAGUUAAGGUUCUGAGUUGGGUUCAUAACAAUUGGUAUCAUCCUGCUCAAUCCUCGAUUCCCUAUUGUAUGCCCCGUCACGCUCCGACGACUCGUUUAACAACCAUGGAUGCACGUCUUACUGCCGUUGAAGCUACCUUGGCGGAUCUCCCCAACCUUCUUCGCAAUUCCAUCGCCGCUGCGAACGCCGACCUCUCGGCCGCGCUCUCUGCUGACUUCGAUGCUAAGUUAGCUUCCUCCUUCGAGCAACUCCGACGUGAGCAGUCCUUUGUCGGUGGUGCCGGAUCUUCCCAUCCAGCUCCAUUCGCCGUCGAUCCUGUUCCCCCGCCAGUUCCCGUCACGGAUGAUGCUGAUCUCCGUCUUUUGGAGACUCCUCGACACCCUCGUCGUGAGCAAUUUGAGCCCGGGGGAGGGCCGCCUAAACUUCAGUGGCAGCAACGGGUGGAUUUUCCCCGCUUUUCCGAUGGCGAUGAUCCUAUCACUUGGAUCUACAAGGCUGAGCAAUAUUUUGCUUGUUACAACACUCCAGAUCCACAGAAGGUCCUUACAGCCUCCUUCUACUUGGAAAAUGAGGCGAUGCAGUGGUUCAAAUGGCGCAAUUGCUUAUUCACUACUCCUACUUGGGAGGAAUUUACCAGUGCACUAUGUAGGGAGUUUGGACCCUCUGAGUUCGAGGAUUGUACUGAGUCAUUAUUUAAGUUGCGCCAAACAGGUACUCUGAAGGAAUAUGUGACUGAAUUUCGUAGGCUUGCUAAUCGUGCUUCCGGUGUUGGUCAUGCCCUCCUCAAGAGUUGUUUCCUUGGGGGUUUAAAAAGGGAAUUGGUUUAUGAUGUCAAAUUAUUGAGGCCUACGUCCGUUCAUGAUGCAAUCUUUAUUGCUGUUUAGGUUGAUGCUAAACUUUCUGCACUGCGUUUCCACAAUCCUAGAACUCUAUCUGCAACUAAGGUCACUCCACUUCCCAUCAUGCCACCCCGACCUAAAACUACCAAUUUACCAUAUCGUAAGCUCACUCCUGAGGAAGUACAACGAAAGAAAGACCAGGGGGAAUGUUGGUUUUGCCCUGAGAAAUGGGUCAUGGGACAUAAAUGCACGCAUAAACAAUUGCUUUUGUUAGAUGUGUGUGAUGAUGGAGAAUUGUGUGAGGAGAAUGACGAGGGUGUGCAAGCUAAGUUGCAAGGAAUGGCACUAAGUGAAUGUGCAUUUUAUGGCAUGAAUGCUAAGCGCUUCCUACAAACAAUGAAGGUUUUGGGUAGUGUUAAGGGCCAACCCGUGCGAAUCCUCCUCGACUCGGGUAGUACCCACAAUUUUAUUGAUUCUCGGUUCACUAAGAAAAUGGGGUGGUCUUUACAAACAACCAAACCAUUUGAAGUAAUGAUAGCAGAUGGCGGCAAAAUCAAAAGUCAGGGUUGUUGUAGACACAUUCCGUUGGAAUUGGGAGGAUACCACUGUCACACUGAUUUGUUUGCAUUGCCUUUGGGAGGGUGUGACUUGGUGUUGGGAGUGCAAUGGUUGUCUACUGUGAGUCCCGUACUCUGGGAUUUUCAAUUACUCACAAUGGAGUUUCAAGUAGGCCAAAACAAGUUCAAACUGUCCCAUAGUACACCACCACAGCUGGCUGUCCAGGAAAUGUCAUUGCAGCAGCUCAACAAGGAAAUUUAUGAUUCUAACUUGGGAGUUUUAUUGUAUUCAUUGGAGUAUACACCAAAUGAUACUAGCACCCUCAGUGCUCAACAAAGGGAAGAGUUACAGGUAGUCUUAAUGAGAUUUGAUGCAGUGUUUCAGAUUCCUUCACAGUUGCCUCCACAUAGAGCACAUGAUCACAAAAUCCCGCUUCUUCAAGGGUCUAAGCCUCCAAGCAUUAGGCCUUACCAUUAUGGCCCUGCUCAGAAAGAUGAAAUUGAGAAAACAGUGCAGGAACUUCUAAAAGCAGGGUUCAUUAGGCCUAGUCACAGUCCAUUCUCAUUCCCUGUGCUGUUGGUGAAGAAAAAGGAAGGGACAUUGAGGUUAUGCAUGGACUACAGGGAAUUAAACAGACUCACAAUCAAGGAUAACUAUCCUAUUCCACUGAUUGAUGAUCUUUGGAUGAAUUAUAUGGAGCUCACUAUUUCUCAAAACUUGAUCUGAGGUCCGACUAUCACCAAAUUCGAAUGCAUAAGGAUGACAUUGAAAAAACAACUUUUCGAACUCAUGAAGGCCAUUAUGAGUUCCUAGUUAUGCCAUUUGGCCUCACUAAUGCCCCUGCAACAUUUCAAAGCCUCAUGAAUGACAUUUUUAAACCUUACUUACGAAAGUUUAUCCUUGUGUUCUUUGAUGACAUAUUGAUAUACAGUAAGUCGUGGGAGGAACACCUGGUGCAUUUGGGAAAAACUCUAGAAUUAUUGCAACAACAUCAACUGUUUGUCAAGAAACAAAAAUGUUCUUUUGGGCAGCACCAAGUGGAAUACCUUGGCCAUAUAGUAUCCUGUGAGGGAGUCUCUGCGGAUCAUGCAAAAAUCCAAGCUAUAUUGGAGUGGCCUGCUCCUAAGAAUGUGAAGGAGUUAAGGGGAUUUUUGGGGUUAACAGGUUACUACAUAAAAUUUGUACUUGGAUAUGGCAAAAUCUACCAGCCCUUGUACAAACUCACUGGAAGUGAGGGGUUCAUAUGGUCAGAAGAAACUGAGGCAGCUUUUACCCCUCCCCUGCCACUCCCUUCGCCGGAAAAACAAGACUGGAGGGCUGAUUUUGCCCCUCCCCUGCCAGAAAACGUACUGGUUCUGCUGCUGCUGCUCUUCCUCUUUGGUGGUCUGUCCGCGCGUAGACCAACUUCUUUUUUUUAAAAGCAACCAGGCCAAAACGGGCCGUUUUGAUAAGUUGGAAGGAAAAACUUCAAUUUUUUUUUAAAAGCAACAUGCCCAAAACGGGCCGUUUUGAUAGUUGGAAGGAAGAAAUUAUGAAACGGGCCAUUUUGAUGAAGUUGGAAGGAAAAAAAAAUUAUAUGGGGGGACCGCGUGUCCCCCAUUCAUUCAAUAUCUCUUCCUGUCAUUUUGCCCUUUUCAAUUUUCAUCCUCCAAUCAGAGCAGCAAAAUGAAGCUGUUGCUCCCCAUUUUGAAGCAAAAAAUGGAACGGAACCAACCAAUCAGCAAACAUUGUUUGGCUACAGGUUAGCCACUCUCCAGCUCCAGCCGCCAGCUUCUAACCAUCAAAGUUUCAAACCCAUUUUGAUUUUGUGUUUCACCUUUUUUUAUGAGACUCAUAUUGAGAAUUACAAAUGAGUUAUCACAAACACUACAAAAGAAAGAUCAAAAUAUUGUGAAUGUGAUGACGUUAGUGGAAAUAUGCAAGCAAAGAGUACAAUCCUUGAGAGAUGAUGAUUUUGGGGACUUGCUUGAUGAUGUACAAAAGUUUUGUGAAGAGCAUGAUAUUGUCGUUCCUAACAUGAAGGAUUUGCAUUUCAUACCUGAAAAAUCAAGGCGUAAAGCUCCAAGACUCACAAACUUCCAUUACUAUAGUGUGGACCUCUAUUUUCAAGUCCUUGAUACGCAAUUAAAGGAAUUGAAUGAUCGCUUCGAUAAGGUAAACAUCGAGUUGCUUCUUU